AAACGGCAGGUGGGUAGCAACGAGCAAGUGUAACAGGCCAGCUCUCCCGUGAUCCCUUCCUUGUCCCGUGUGUGCGCCUACCGAUCCAGCAUUUAUACUGCAACGCAACAAGGAGCUAGCCAGCGAGACAAUUCGGCUGUAACGUGGAUGAUAGCUGGUUAAUUAGCGCAACAAUCUUACUAGUGAUUAAUUAGGUAGAUGAACAUGAGCACUGGAGUAACCAAAGACCGCCUGGCAAGUAGCCAAGCUACACCUGCACAAGUAGGCUGUGGGUUUGACUAGUUGCUAUGUUGCUCGUGGAUAAACUAAUGGUUAGUUUACUCUUGUGAGCUGCGACGUUGCUAACUAAGUGCUGCUAUGUUGCUCGUGGAUAAACUAAUGGAUAGUGGCGUUGGCAUGAGAGGCAAGUUAGUGUUUUUUUUUUGUGAGGAAACCACUGAUUAUAUUGAAACAAGAAUUACAGAAAAGAACGCCAGAAAGCUAGAAAUUACACACAGGUCCUUUCUGCAAAACAACGUCGCCGACGCGAAGAAGAACGUGCCGGUGGCGGGCCGCCGCUGCAUCUCCACACGAACCUUGGAUCGGGAGAUGUCCCCAGGCGGCGGGGUAGUCGCCGGACCUCGAACUCCGGGGAGCCUCCACUCUGCUCCGCUGGUAACGCCGUCUUGAUCCAACAUCAGGGGCUUCCGGGUCGACAACUGGAUCCGCCGCGUCGAGAUCCAGAGGGGGAUAAACGCACGCAUCGGCCACCGGGGACCGCGAGCGCGGACGAGGAGGCGCUCCGCCGUAGCGCUCAGAAGAACUCCACCGCCGGAGGGGACGAGCACCACCUGCAAAACGAAGACCGGCCGCGCCGCCCACUCCAAGACGCCGCCGGCCAGGGUCCCAACAGAGCCUACCCUGUACACACACGCGAGACAAAGCUCCCCCACCCUCCCGCCGCCGCAGCGGCCGACGGAGGGCAGGGGACCCGGCGAAACGACGACGGAGGGGUGGAUCUGCUCGGGGGUUCCAGAAAAGUCGCCUCUACUGUAGCGGGAGAGGGGACGCGUCCAAGGUCGCGUUGAGGCAAGUUAGUGUUUGACUCGGCAGUCAUUAAGCUGAUUACAUUGCAUGCACGUGGAGAGCUCAGCAGUGCCCAGGGAAUUACUUUCGGCGUGAUAUCUACACAUACAGUGGUACGCGUGCAGAGUAGCGACUAGCAACGCAGAGAGAGACGAUGGACCGACUGACUGACACCUCGCCGGAGAGCACUAAAUUAUACUCAGACGGUCAGUGUAUACCACCUGUCACUCAUCUCUGGGCAUGGACACGCAUGCUUCCAGCAUCCAUGGAAAGCCAGCAUCGAUCGUCUCUGUACUGUUGGCCUAUCAUGUUGUUAGGACAAAUCGGUGGGUGAUUAUUAGGCUAUCAUUCUGUUAGGACGGUCGACAAAGUCCAUACCAUCAUUUGUCCUUGUUUACUGUUAAGCCGCGAGCUGUAUGUUAUGUGGUUUUGGCCUUUUGGGGACGCACAAUAUAGGCCCCCUUUGGUUUACCCGAUAUUUGUAGUGGGUGGCAGAAGGCCGGGACCCGGAACAUGGAAUGUUUUGACGGGAAAGUGGUGAAGAAUCGUGCUGAAUCAGUCUCCCGUUAUUGCUGCUCUAUCCUACUGUACUGAGAGCAUCUCCAGCCGUUUCCCCCAGGGGCUAGAAAAAGCAUCGUUUGGGGACGAACCGGCGGUAAAUUUCGGCGUGGAGGCGAUCGGGUUCCCAGCCGCCGCCCCAGAUCGCCCCCGACACCCUUUUUUAGAAAACAAAAUCGGUUAAAUACAACAUAAAAUUCGUCCAAACUCGAUGAUUUUAUUGAUAUUUGUAAAAAAACUAAAAACAUAAAUUAAAACUAACUAAAAACUUAGCCAGGGACACAAUCAGAAGCUGCACGGCGAGGCCGCGGCUGCAAUAAGGAGGGGGGCCGUGUUAGCCGGCAAGCAUGCAUCCGGAAAUUGCUAAUGAAGCUCGAGCACAAGCUUUGAAAAUUUCAAUUAACUGAUUUUAGUAUAAAGAAAAUUACAAAAGCAUGCACAUAAAGGAUGUUGGGGGAUCUCCAACGCCAACCCUCAAGUCUCCCGCAACCGUUCGACCAUGCUAUUCGGACGGCGGAAACCAUCCAACGUGGGCAGGUGUCGGUCCGUGGCGCGGUCUGGGCAUGUUUUCUCCCACAAAUCAAAGAUAAACGUAGGCGAGGUUUGUGGGAGUUCGGACCGCUGUCACGCCUAUUUCUGACCGUCCUGGCCCACCCAAACCUCUCCUCCCUCGCCCACGCGCAUUCCCGUCCCAAACCACCUACCCGCAUUCAUGCCGAUGUAGACUGUGCCACUCAACAUUGGUGACGGCUCAGGACGGACACGACCUCUCACAGCACCCGCCAUUGAAGCGUCGUGCCAGACGAGGGCACCGCCCGUUGCAUGCCUGACUGAACACGCCUCCUCGUCGCAUUCAAAUGUCUCCAUUAACCCCGCGUGGAAGCCAACAAACCUAUUGCGGCCACACGUUCGCUCAUGAGUGGGCCGACAUUAAACGCAACGCUGGGCAGACUCCUUCUAUCCGCCCUUUAUAUAAAUCAGGCCAGGUGCCGCGCAAGAAUCGCACCACUCCGCCGCUUCCCAUCUCCUUCUUUCACUAUUUUCUUCAAUCUUUCGGUGGCAUCCGAUGAGAUGGAAGAGCAGUUUUUCAGCAUAAAAGACGGUUGGGUGGGCCGCCGAGCAAGCCGGAUACAAGCGAGGAAGCUCGCCGCUCCACCUCCCUCACCUAGCCCGACGAAGCCACGCCGCCACGGGCUCUACACCGCCGUUGAUGACGCCACGUCGUCCCGCGCCUCCAACGCCUGUGACCGCGCCAUGCAGGCAGAGACAUAAGUUGGGUGCAUGGAGGUCAACGAGUCAGUGGGCAGCGUGUCCGUGUCCGCCAUCGUCAUUGAGGAGAAGUAGAACACGGGAGUCUGCCGGCGUACACAGCCGGUGUUGAGGAUAUUACUGCUGGGCGUAAACCGGCCUAUCUGGGCCGGGUCAACUUCAUCAGUAGUUCAAGAGUGCUAAAAGCCCAAGAAGGCAGAUGAGGGCCUAAGGCCCGUAGUCGGUUUAAGACUUGUAGCCGCAAACCGGUAUUUGUAUAUAAACUUGUAUUGUAAGUUAGGAAUAAGGAGAGACCAACCCGGAUACGAAUAUCGACCGGUGUUGGGACUUUGUGAACCGACGGGCGUCACCCGUGUAUAUAAGGGGACAGCCCGGCGGUGGUUCAGGAGGACAGACAACAACUCAAGACAUAGGCGAAGCUUGUUUGCUCCCUAGUCAUCGAAACCCCAUCAAUUCCAUCACAACUAGACGUAGGCUUUUACCUUCAUCGAAGGGGCCGAACUAGUAUAAACUCUCUUGCGUCCCUGUGUCCGCUUUAACCCCUUCAAACUAACCCGUCGCGAUGGCUCCACGACUAAGUCCUUUCUCUAGGACAUCUGCCGUGACAAAACCACGACAGUUGGCGCCCACCGUGGGGCUAUCGCACGAUGGUUUCAGGUUUUUGGAGGGCCGCUUUGAAGGACUCGAGGGCUAUGCUGUAGGCCGGAUGACUAAGAGUCGUCGCGGCAAGCUCUGCAUCGACGACGCAGGCUGGGGCCCCGAGGCCGGCUCAGUUGAGUACGGGUACCGGGUCCCCUUUGGUGGCAUUCAUGUUUUCAUUGGCAAGAUCGCUGAACCGGGCCCUGAGCCGGACAUCUGCACCGACCUCGUCGAGACGGCUCAGCGUGCGCGAUCCGCCCGGGUUAAACCGGCCAUGAAGCGUGCCUUCGUGGGAGUCAUUCAUGGAGGAAGUUAUGAGGACGGAUCGGAAUCUCGCGGCGAGACCGUCGUUUGUUCCGAUAACGAGUCUUCGACCGGAGAAACUGAGUCUCUCUGUCAGCUACAAGAUGGCCGGAUUGGGGGCUGUUCCGAUGGCGACAGUAUUCCGGACCCCUCUGAUCUGCCCAACCGAGUUGGAAUAUUCAUGGCCGGAACACAAGCAGCGCUUCAUUCUUCGACAGCUGCGGCAACAAUCUCCGGUUCAGCAGCGGCGACGGCUGCCGGGGCAGGAGGCCCUGUGCGCCCGUCGGCUCAGGUUCUAUCAGAGCUAUUCGAUGCAUUGGCUGUGCUUAUGGCGGAAGCUAAUCCGGCGAAUCAGGGCGUUCACAACGCGGAGAUUGCAAAAGGUAAAGGAACAGAUCACCCAUGCCAAGGCGGAUCUGGCAGCUGAGGACAUCAGGAUGGCCACGGAGCGGGCCGCUCUAGACGCACAAGCCUACAGGCUCAUGUUGGACCAGAGCGCGUCGCAUGAAGUCAUGAGGAGGAAGCACCGAUCCCGUUUGCCUCCGGUUUUCGAGGCCAGAGACCUUUUCAACACCCCGGGAGCUGGAACUAGUAAUUCGCUGGAGGGAAACCGGAUGGAAGCUCCUGGGACCGGUGUGCCAGUUCAGCCUCGUCGGAUGGACCCGCCUCGUCAGAACACCGUUAUGCCUCAGGUUGUUUUAACACCUCCGGGUCACUACUCCAACCCAAUGGACAAUCUCGUCGCCACUGCUAUACGGCUAGAGGCCAUUCCAAUUGAAGGUGACUCGCCGCAGGCAGUAGAGACGCGACGGGUCAAGGAGCUUCUGAGGACAGCUUUGGUCCAACAGGAAGCAUACUCGUACAGCCGCGACCGGAUCCACUCGACCCCCCGUCCAAGCCGGAGCUAUAGCAGACAUAUGGAUGAACCGGCAGUGUCGAGUAAUGAACGACGUGGAGCACCCCGUGGCAACAACCCGGCGGGUGGUGCUGAUAACGCUCAGGAAGUGGUGGACCAGGCCCAAGCGCGCAGGGAGGCCGAGUUAGCCGGACAGCAUUAGGCUCGGCAGCUCACGCCGGUUCGUCCAACUAUCUCGAUCGAACCUGGUGUUACUUCUAGUUCUUUGGGGGUGCCUUGCCUUAUCCCCGCUUUAUGCAAUGUGCGCCUGCCCAAGGAUUUCAAAGGCCCGCGCAAAGUACCAAAUUACACGGCGGAUCAACCUCCAGAGACAUGGGUGGAAAGCUAUGAGAUGGCCAUGGAGAUGCUUGAUGUGGAUGACGUGGCGUGUGCGAAAUACUUCACCAUGAUGCUUGAAGGAACGGCCCGUACUUGGUUAAAAAGCUUGCCGGCUAAUUCUAUCAGUUUAUGGGCCCAAUUACGAGCCCGGUUUAUCAACAAUUUCAAGGAUACAUGUAAACAGCCUAUGUCGAUAGUGGACUUAGCUGCCUGCGUCCAGGAGGAAGGAGAAUCAACGACUCAUUGGGUGCGCCGGGUUUCGCAAGUGUUGCACUCAUCAGACCGCAUCAACGCUGACACCGCAGUAUUAACCCUAGAAGGCAACUGCCGGUUUGGGCCCCUAAAGCUGAAGUUGGGACGGAUGAAGCGUCAUUGCACUGAUAUGGGGACCCUCAUGGCCGCUUUCGUGAAGUAUGCUGAUUCUGAUAGUACCAAGGAUCCCGAAUCUGAUGAUGACAAGGCAGGGAAGGGAAAGAGGAACAGCAACUCCAAAGGUCAGCAGCAUCACUGGGCAGGCAACGGUGGUGGGGGCAAGCGUAAAGCGGAUGGUAACAUGGACUUUGUGGCUAAUACCAACACGCAGGACAAUGGCCAGCGACGCAAGGAUAGACCAAAAAAUCACAAUGGGGCACCCAACCCUAACCCGGACCGCCUAAACUAUCUACUGAGCCAGCCCUGUUCAAGGCAUGGGACGAAGGAGGCGCCAGCAAACCACCUUUGGAAGGAUUGCUUCAUUAUGCAGGAGUUCAAGAAUUCUAAUGCUUUCCGGUAUGAUCACGGCUCCGACGGUGGUUCAGGGUCCGGGCCGGGUUACGGCGGAGGAAAUUCCGGUUCAGGAUUUAACGGUAAUCCGGGCGAACAUAAUAAUCAAAAUAGUUAGAACAACCAGGGUGGUUACAACCAACAGCAGCAACAGUCAGGUUACCAGAGCAACCCAAAGCAGUUGAGUAGUGGGUAGUACCAUGUCUUCACCACUAGCUUGGACAAGCGAGACCGGAAGGUUCAGAAGCGGGCGGUCAACUCUGUUGAACCGUCCAUACCUCAUUAUCUACGCUGGUCUGAACAGCCAAUCAUAUGGAGCAGAGAGGAUCACCCUCCCCAGGUUGAUAAUCCGGGUUAGUUGGCUCUGGUGGUGGCGCCUCAGGUGGGAGGUUACAAGUUCACCAAGGUGCUCAUGGAUGGGGGGAGCAGCAUUAAUAUCUUGUACUAUGAGACCUUCCGUCGUAUGGGACUAACAGAUAAAAAUCUCAAACCGUCUAAUACGGUGUUCCACGGUGUAGUACCUGGCAGAUCAGCAUAUCAUGUUGGUAAGAUAGCUCUGGAAGUGGCCUUUGGGGAUGAUCAUGAUUCCAGGUCGGAGAUAUUGACGUUUGAAGUGGUGAAAAUCCAAAGUCCAUAUCACGCCCUGUUUGGGCGACCGGCCUACGCCAAGUUUAUGGCACGGCCCUGUUAUGUGUAUUUGCAGCUCAAGAUGCCGGGUCACAAGGGGACAAUAACGGUUCACGGAAGCCGCAAAAUCGCUUUGGAGUGCGAGGAAGGAGAUGCGGCCUAUGCAGAGUCGGUCUGUGCCACCGAGGAGUUGAAGUAUUAUAAAGACAAUGUUGAUCCGGCGGACAUGACUCCAUUAAAGAAGCCAACUACAAAGCAUGAUCCGGCCCUGAAGUUCAAAUCGGCAGCAGAAACUAAGCUUGUUGACUUCGUACCUGGCGAUUCGUCCAAGCAGUUCAGCAUCAGUGCCAACUUGGAUCCGAAAUAGGAAAGCGCGCUCAUCGAGUUCAUCCGUGAGAAUUGGGACAUUUUUGCAUGGAAGCCCUCUGACAUGCCAGGUGUACCGAGGCAACUCGCUGAGCACACCCUUAAUGUGGAUCCUAAAUAGAAACCGGUGAAACAGUUUCUCCGCCGAUUUAACGAAGAAAGACGCAAGGCGAUUGGAGAAGAGGUAGCCAGGCUCUUAGCGGCUGGUUUUAUUGUUGAAGUUUUUCACCCGGAGUGGCUUGCCAAUCCAGUGCUGGUCCUUAAAAAAAACAGCCCCUGGCGCAUGUGCGUGGAUUACACAGAUCUUAAUAAGGCUUGUCCAGCAGAUCCUUUUGCCCUCCCCCGUAUUGAUCAAAUUAUUGAUGCUACGGCGGGUUGUGAGCGUUUAAGUUUUUUGGAUGCAUAUUCUGGCUAUCAUCAGAUCAAAAUGGCAGUUAAGGAGCAGGAGAAGACGACAUUUAUAACUCCCUUUGGAGCCUUCUGCUAUGUGUCUAUGCCCUUUGGGCUCAAGAGUGCCCAGACAACUUAUCAACGGUGUGUACAAAAUUGUCUUCACAAGCAGAUUGGCCGUAAUGUACAUGCUUACGUGGAUGAUAUCGUGGUUAAGUCCAGGGAGAAGGAGACUCUGAUUGAUGAUUUGAGAGAAACCUUUGAUAACUUGAGGACAUACAAGAUGAUGCUUAAUCCGGACAAGUGUGUCUUUGGUGUACCGGCGGGCAAGUUAUUGGGUUUUCUGGUGUCCAACAGGGGAAUUGAGGCUAAUCCGGAGAAGAUCACAGCCAUCACCUCCAUGGCUAAACCAAAGUGUAUCAAUGAUGUUCAACGCCUNNNNNNNNNNCGAACCUGGUGUUACUUCUAGUUCUUUGGGGGUGCCUUGCCUUAUCCCCGCUUUAUGCAAUGUGCGCCUGCCCAAGGAUUUCAAAGGCCCGCGCAAAGUACCAAAUUACACGGCGGAUCAACCUCCAGAGACAUGGGUGGAAAGCUAUGAGAUGGCCAUGGAGAUGCUUGAUGUGGAUGACGUGGCGUGUGCGAAAUACUUCACCAUGAUGCUUGAAGGAACGGCCCGUACUUGGUUAAAAAGCUUGCCGGCUAAUUCUAUCAGUUUAUGGGCCCAAUUACGAGCCCGGUUUAUCAACAAUUUCAAGGAUACAUGUAAACAGCCUAUGUCGAUAGUGGACUUAGCUGCCUGCGUCCAGGAGGAAGGAGAAUCAACGACUCAUUGGGUGCGCCGGGUUUCGCAAGUGUUGCACUCAUCAGACCGCAUCAACGCUGACACCGCAGUAUUAACCCUAGAAGGCAACUGCCGGUUUGGGCCCCUAAAGCUGAAGUUGGGACGGAUGAAGCGUCAUUGCANNNNNNNNNNUGAUAUGGGGACCCUCAUGGCCGCUUUCGUGAAGUAUGCUGAUUCUGAUAGUACCAAGGAUCCCGAAUCUGAUGAUGACAAGGCAGGGAAGGGAAAGAGGAACAGCAACUCCAAAGGUCAGCAGCAUCACUGGGCAGGCAACGGUGGUGGGGGCAAGCGUAAAGCGGAUGGUAACAUGGACUUUGUGGCUAAUACCAACACGCAGGACAAUGGCCAGCGACGCAAGGAUAGACCAAAAAAUCACAAUGGGGCACCCAACCCUAACCCGGACCGCCUAAACUAUCUACUGAGCCAGCCCUGUUCAAGGCAUGGGACGAAGGAGGCGCCAGCAAACCACCUUUGGAAGGAUUGCUUCAUUAUGCAGGAGUUCAAGAAUUCUAAUGCUUUCCGGUAUGAUCACGGCUCCGACGGUGGUUCAGGGUCCGGGCCGGGUUACGGCGGAGGAAAUUCCGGUUCAGGAUUUAACGGUAAUCCGGGCGAACAUAAUAAUCAAAAUAGUUAGAACAACCAGGGUGGUUACAACCAACAGCAGCAACAGUCAGGUUACCAGAGCAACCCAAANNNNNNNNNNGAAGCCGCAAAAUCGCUUUGGAGUGCGAGGAAGGAGAUGCGGCCUAUGCAGAGUCGGUCUGUGCCACCGAGGAGUUGAAGUAUUAUAAAGACAAUGUUGAUCCGGCGGACAUGACUCCAUUAAAGAAGCCAACUACAAAGCAUGAUCCGGCCCUGAAGUUCAAAUCGGCAGCAGAAACUAAGCUUGUUGACUUCGUACCUGGCGAUUCGUCCAAGCAGUUCAGCAUCAGUGCCAACUUGGAUCCGAAAUAGGAAAGCGCGCUCAUCGAGUUCAUCCGUGAGAAUUGGGACAUUUUUGCAUGGAAGCCCUCUGACAUGCCAGGUGUACCGAGGCAACUCGCUGAGCACACCCUUAAUGUGGAUCCUAAAUAGAAACCGGUGAAACAGUUUCUCCGCCGAUUUAACGAAGAAAGACGCAAGGCGAUUGGAGAAGAGGUAGCCAGGCUCUUAGCGGCUGGUUUUAUUGUUGAAGUUUUUCACCCGGAGUGGCUUGCCAAUCCAGUGCUGGUCCUUAAAAAAAACAGCCCCUGGCGCAUGUGCGUGGAUUACACAGAUCUUAAUAAGGCUUGUCCAGCAGAUCCUUUUGCCCUCCCCCGUAUUGAUCAAAUUAUUGAUGCUACGGCGGGUUGUGAGCGUUUAAGUUUUUUGGAUGCAUAUUCUGGCUAUCAUCAGAUCAAAAUGGCAGUUAAGGAGCAGGAGAAGACGACAUUUAUAACUCCCUUUGGAGCCUUCUGCUAUGUGUCUAUGCCCUUUGGGCUCAAGAGUGCCCAGACAACUUAUCAACGGUGUGUACAAAAUUGUCUUCACAAGCAGAUUGGCCGUAAUGUACAUGCUUACGUGGAUGAUAUCGUGGUUAAGUCCAGGGAGAAGGAGACUCUGAUUGAUGAUUUGAGAGAAACCUUUGAUAACUUGAGGACAUACAAGAUGAUGCUUAAUCCGGACAAGUGUGUCUUUGGUGUACCGGCGGGCAAGUUAUUGGGUUUUCUGGUGUCCAACAGGGGAAUUGAGGCUAAUCCGGAGAAGAUCACAGCCAUCACCUCCAUGGCUAAACCAAAGUGUAUCAAUGAUGUUCAACGCCUGGCACAUGGUUCGACAGUUGGCGCCCACCGUGGGGCUAUCGCACGAUGGUUUCAGGUUUUUGGAGGGCCGCUUUGAAGGACUCGAGGGCUACGCUGUAGGCCGGAUGACUAAGAGUCGUCGCGGCAAGCUCUGCAUCGACGACGCAGGCUGGGGCCCCGAGGCCGGCUCAGUUGAGUACGGGUACCGGGUCCCCUUUGGUGGCAUUCAUGUUUUCAUUGGCAAGAUCGCUGAACCGGGCCCUGAGCCGGACAUCUGCACCGACCUCGUCGAGACGGCUCAGCGUGCGCGAUCCGCCCGGGUUAAACCGGCCAUGAAGCGUGCCUUCGUGGGAGUCAUUCAUGGAGGAAGUUAUGAGGACGGAUCGGAAUCUCGCGGCGAGACCGUCGUUUGUUCCGAUAACGAGUCUUCGACCGGAGAAACCGAGUCUCUCUGUCAGCUACAAGAUGGCCGGAUUGGGGGCUGUUCCGAUGGCGACAGUAUUCCGGACCCCUCUGAUCUGCCCAACCGAGUUGGAAUAUUCAUGGCCGGAACACAAGCAGCGCUUCAUUCUUCGAGAGCUGCGGCAACAAUCUCCGGUUCAGCAGCGGCGACGGCUGCCGGGGCAGGAGGCCCUGUGCGCCCGCCGGCUCAGGUUCUAUCAGAGCUAUUCGAUGCAUUGGCUGUGCUUAUGGCGGAAGCUAAUCCGGCGAAUCAGGGCGUUCACAACGCGGAGAUUGCAAAAGGUAAAGGAACAGAUCACCCAUGCCAAGGCGGAUCUGGCAGCUGAGGACAUCAGGAUGGCCACAGAGCGGGCCGCUCUAGACGCACAAGCCUACAGGCUCAUGUUGGACCAGAGCGCGUCGCAUGAAGUCAUGAGGAGGAAGCACCGAUCCCGUUUGCCUCCGGUUUUCGAGGCCAGAGACCUUUUCAACACCCCGGGAGCUGGAACUAGUAAUUCGCUGGAGGGAAACCGGACGGAAGCUCCUGGGACCGGUGUGCCAGUUCAGCCUCGUCGGAUGGACCCGCCUCGUCAGAACACCGUUAUGCCUCAGGUUGUUUUAACACCUCCGGGUCACUACUCCAACCCAAUGGACAAUCUCGUCGCCACUGCUAUACGGCUAGAGGCCAUUCCAAUUGAAGGUGACUCGCCGCAGGCAGUAGAGACGCGACGGGUCAAGGAGCUUCUGAGGACAGCUUUGGUCCAACAGGAAGCAUACUCGUACAGCCGCGACCGGAUCCACUCGACCCCCCGUCCAAGCCGGAGCUAUAGCAGACAUAUGGAUGAACCGGCAGUGUCGAGUAAUGAACGACGUGGAGCACCCCGUGGCAACAACCCGGCGGGUGGUGCUGAUAACGCUCAGGAAGUGGUGGACCAGGCCCAAGCGCGCAGGGAGGCCGAGUUAGCCGCACAGCAUCAGGCUCGGCAGCUCACGCCGGUUCGUCCAACUAUCUCGAACGAACCUGGUGUUACUUCUAGUUCUUUGGGGGUGCCUUGCCUUAUCCCCGCUUUAUGCAAUGUGCGCCUGCCCAAGGAUUUCAAAGGCCCGCGCAAAGUACCAAAUUACACGGCGGAUCAACCUCCAGAGACAUGGGUGGAAAGCUAUGAGAUGGCCAUGGAGAUGCUUGAUGUGGAUGACGUGGCGUGUGCGAAAUACUUCACCAUGAUGCUUGAAGGAACGGCCCGUACUUGGUUAAAAAGCUUGCCGGCUAAUUCUAUCAGUUUAUGGGCCCAAUUACGAGCCCGGUUUAUCAACAAUUUCAAGGAUACAUGUAAACAGCCUAUGUCGAUAGUGGACUUAGCUGCCUGCGUCCAGGAGGAAGGAGAAUCAACGACUCAUUGGGUGCGCCGGGUUUCGCAAGUGUUGCACUCAUCAGACCGCAUCAACGCUGACACCGCAGUAUUAACCCUAGAAGGCAACUGCCGGUUUGGGCCCCUAAAGCUGAAGUUGGGACGGAUGAAGCGUCAUUGCAAUGAUAUGGGGACCCUCAUGGCCGCUUUCGUGAAGUAUGCUGAUUCUGAUAGUACCAAGGAUCCCGAAUCUGAUGAUGACAAGGCAGGGAAGGGAAAGAGGAACAGCAACUCCAAAGGUCAGCAGCAUCACUGGGCAGGCAACGGUGGUGGGGGCAAGCGUAAAGCGGAUGGUAACAUGGACUUUGUGGCUAAUACCAACACGCAGGACAAUGGCCAGCGACGCAAGGAUAGACCAAAAAAUCACAAUGGGGCACCCAACCCUAACCCGGACCGCCUAAACUAUCUACUGAGCCAGCCCUGUUCAAGGCAUGGGACGAAGGAGGCGCCAGCAAACCACCUUUGGAAGGAUUGCUUCAUUAUGCAGGAGUUCAAGAAUUCUAAUGCUUUCCGGUAUGAUCACGGCUCCGACGGUGGUUCAGGGUCCGGGCCGGGUUACGGCGGAGGAAAUUCCGGUUCAGGAUUUAACGGUAAUCCGGGCGAACAUAAUAAUCAAAAUAGUUAGAACAACCAGGGUGGUUACAACCAACAGCAGCAACAGUCAGGUUACCAGAGCAACCCAAAUCAGUUGAGUAGUGGGUAGUACCAUGUCUUCACCACUAGCUUGGACAAGCGAGACCGGAAGGUUCAGAAGCGGGCGGUCAACUCUGUUGAACCGUCCAUACCUCAUUAUCUACGCUGGUCUGAACAGCCAAUCAUAUGGAGCAGAGAGGAUCACCCUCCCCAGGUUGAUAAUCCGGGUUAGUUGGCUCUGGUGGUGGCGCCUCAGGUGGGAGGUUACAAGUUCACCAAGGUGCUCAUGGAUGGGGGGAGCAGCAUUAAUAUCUUGUACUAUGAGACCUUCCGUCGUAUGGGACUAACAGAUAAAAAUCUCAAACCGUCUAAUACGGUGUUCCACGGUGUAGUACCUGUCAGAUCAGCAUAUCAUGUUGGUAAGAUAGCUCUGGAAGUGGCCUUUGGGGAUGAUCAUGAUUCCAGGUCGGAGAUAUUGACGUUUGAAGUGGUGAAAAUCCAAAGUCCAUAUCACGCCCUGUUUGGGCGACCGGCCUACGCCAAGUUUAUGGCACGGCCCUGUUAUGUGUAUUUGCAGCUCAAGAUGCCGGGUCACAAGGGGACAAUAACGGUUCACAGAAGCCGCAAAAUCGCUUUGGAGUGCGAGGAAGGAGAUGCGGCCUAUGCAGAGUCGGUCUGUGCCACCGAGGAGUUGAAGUAUUAUAAAGACAAUGUUGAUCCGGCGGACAUGACUCCAUUAAAGAAGCCAACUACAAAGCAUGAUCCGGCCCUGAAGUUCAAAUCGGCAGCAGAAACUAAGCUUGUUGACUUCGUACCUGGCGAUUCGUCCAAGCAGUUCAGCAUCAGUGCCAACUUGGAUCCGAAAUAGGAAAGCGCGCUCAUCGAGUUCAUCCGUGAGAAUUGGGACAUUUUUGCAUGGAAGCCCUCUGACAUGCCAGGUGUACCGAGGCAACUCGCUGAGCACACCCUUAAUGUGGAUCCUAAAUAGAAACCGGUGAAACAGUUUCUCCGCCGAUUUAACGAAGAAAGACGCAAGGCGAUUGGAGAAGAGGUAGCCAGGCUCUUAGCGGCUGGUUUUAUUGUUGAAGUUUUUCACCCGGAGUGGCUUGCCAAUCCAGUGCUGGUCCUUAAAAAAAACAGCCCCUGGCGCAUGUGCGUGGAUUACACAGAUCUUAAUAAGGCUUGUCCAGCAGAUCCUUUUGCCCUCCCCCGUAUUGAUCAAAUUAUUGAUGCUACGGCGGGUUGUGAGCGUUUAAGUUUUUUGGAUGCAUAUUCUGGCUAUCAUCAGAUCAAAAUGGCAGUUAAGGAGCAGGAGAAGACGACAUUUAUAACUCCCUUUGGAGCCUUCUGCUAUGUGUCUAUGCCCUUUGGGCUCAAGAGUGCCCAGACAACUUAUCAACGGUGUGUACAAAAUUGUCUUCACAAGCAGAUUGGCCGUAAUGUACAUGCUUACGUGGAUGAUAUCGUGGUUAAGUCCAGGGAGAAGGAGACUCUGAUUGAUGAUUUGAGAGAAACCUUUGAUAACUUGAGGACAUACAAGAUGAUGCUUAAUCCGGACAAGUGUGUCUUUGGUGUACCGGCGGGCAAGUUAUUGGGUUUUCUGGUGUCCAACAGGGGAAUUGAGGCUAAUCCGGAGAAGAUCACAGCCAUCACCUCCAUGGCUAAACCAAAGUGUAUCAAUGAUGUUCAACGCCUAGCAGGCCGGAUUGCCGCGUUAAGCCGGUUUAUCAGUCGUCUUGGUGAGAAGGCAAUCCCUUUGUAUCAGAUGUUAAAAAAACGGAUCAGUUUGUCUGGAGUUCCGCUGCUGAUGAAGCAUUUGAGGACUUAAAGCGGCAAUUGGCCAAUCCGCCUGUGCUCGCCGCUCCCAUUAACAAGGAGCCGUUACUGCUAUAUGUUGCUGCUAAUGCUCGGGCGGUCAGCGUGGCUAUUGUGGUGGAGCGAAAGGAGGCAGGUAAGGAGCAUCCGGUUCAACGUCCGGUCUAUUAUAUCAGUGAGGUACUCAUCGAGUCCAAGCAAAGGUAUCCGCAUUGGCAGAAGUUGGUGUAUGGAGUUUUUAUGGCAAGCCGGAAGCUUAAACAAUACUUCCAAGGGCACCCAAUUACAGUGGUCAGUUCUGCUCCUUUGGGAGAUAUCAUCCAGAACCGGGAAGCAACUGGCCGGAUUGCCAAGUGGGCUAUAGAGCUUGGGCCGCACGAUUUGAAGUAUGUGCCUCGGACGGCGGUUAAGUCUCAAGCACUUGUUGAUUUCAUCAAUGAUUGGACGGAAAUGCAAGCACCUGAAGAAAAGCCGGAUCACACAUAUUGGACCAUCCAUUUUGAUGGAUCCAGGCAGUUGGAAGGCUCGGGGGCUGGAGUCGUAUUAACUUCCCCGCAAGGUGAUAAGUUUUGUUAUGUUCUCCCCUUAAUGUUCCCUUGUACUAACAAUGCAGCUGAGUAUGAAGCCUUGCUCCAUGGUCUCCGGAUGGCUAAGGAGAUGAAUCUAAGUCGAGUUAAGUGCUUCGGGGACUCGGACCUUGUGGCUCAGCAAGUAUCCGACACUUGGGAUUCCAAGGACCCCCUCAUGGCAGCAUAUCGUCGUGAGGUGGAUAUUGUUGCAUGUCAUUUUAAGGGCUAUCAGGUGGACCACGUGGACCGGCGGAAAAAUGAAGCGACGGACGCUUUAAGCCGGGUGGGCUCUCAGCGCAAACCGGCCCCGCCCAAUGUUUUUCUGGAUGUGCUGCACAACCCGUCAGUCAAGAUCCCUGGUGAAGCGGACUUGGCUAUUCCUGAUCCGGAGGCUCAAUUGGUGGCAGCUCUUCAUGUUAUUCCGGAUUGGACGCUUCCUUACCUGGCGCACAAGAACCGGGGCGAGUUACCAGAGGAUGAGACUCUGGCCCGACAGAUAAUCUGACAAUCCAAGUCCAUGGCUAUUAUCAAUGGCGAGUUGCAUCAUUGCAGUGUGUCAGGAGCAUUUCAACGUUGUGUGUCUUCUGAGGAAGGCCGUGAAAUUUUGCGUGAGAUCCACGAAGGAGAUUGUGGUCACCAUGCCGGUUCAAAGUCUCUGGUGGCUAAAGCGUUUCGCCAUGGCUUCUAUUGGUUAACUGCUCAUGCUGAUGCGAAGGAUCUGGUCAGACGAUGUGAUGGUUGCCAAAGGUUUUCAAGACGUGCUCAUGUACCGGCUCAAGAAUUGAGAAUGAUUCCAAUUACUUGACCGUUUGCGACUUGGGGGCUGGAUAUGGUUGGGCCUUUCAAAAGGUCCAAAGAUAAGAAGACCCACCUCUUGGUGGCGGUUGACAAGUUUACAAAGUGGGUGGAGGCAAAACCUGUUAGCAAGUGUGAUGCGGCCACGACGGUUCAGUUCAUCAAAAAAGUGAUUUUCCGGUUUGGCUUUCCGCACAGUAUCAUCACAGAUAAUGGUACCAAUUUGUCCAAAGGUGCCAUGAAGGAGUUCUGCGAACGGGAGCAUAUCCGGCUCGAUGUUUCAUCAGUGGCACACCCGCAGUCCAAUGGUCAAGCAGAAAGGGCUAAUCAAGAGAUCUUGCGAGGCAUCAAACCCCGGCUCAUGGUUCCUUUGUAGAGAACGCCGGGUUGUUGGGUAGAAGAAUUACCAUCUGUGUUAUGGAGCAUCAACACAACACCCAACAGAUCAACAUGAUACACACCGUUCUUCAUGGUUUAUGGAGCGGAGGCGGUUCUCCCCAGUGAUAUCCGUCAUGAUUCACCUCGUGUGACGGCUUAUAUUGAAGCGGACAAUGAGACAGCACGGCAAGAUGCUUUGGACCGGUUGGAUGAAGAGCGUGACAUAGCAGCCGCCCGAUCGGCGAUUUACCAACAGGAUCUUCGUCGUUAUCACAGUCGCCGAGUCAGAACCAGAACCUUUUAGAAAGGAGAUUUGGUGCUUCGGCUCAUCCAAGAUCAGACUGAUAUGCAUAAGCUAUCCCCACCUUGGGAGGGGGCUUUCGUGGUCAGCAAGAAUCUGCACAACGGGUCAUACUAUCUGAUCGAUAUUCGAGAGCAUAAGGACUCAUGUACAUCAGAAGAGGAGACCAACAGGUCGUGGAACAUAGCUCAUCUUCGGCCUUACUAUACCUGAGCCAUUGGCUAUACUUAUGUACAUAUUACGACGAUGUAUAUAUUAUGAUUAAAUAUAAUAAACCGGAACCUCAGCUAAAGCGGGGUAUCUGUUCUUUUACAUCAUGUGUGGUUACACGGAGUUGCUCUAAAGCGGCCUCCGGUUUAUCCCUUGAGUUCGCUUUUUAAAAGCAUCAUGUUAUAUCACUUGGGGGUUUGGUCGUGUCCGAACCAAUACAAUACCUCUUGAUAGGCGAGAGCCACCAGAUCACUUGGGGACUUGGUCACGUCUGAACCAGUCAUGCCUCUUGAUCGGCCUAAGGCCACAGAAACACUUGAGGGCUUGGUCGAACCUGAACCAUUGCCAUGCCACUUGAUCGGCAUAAAUGCCACGGUUUCAUUUGGGGACCUGGCUGAAUAGAACCAUAGUUACACCUAACGGGAGCUUGGUCGUGUUCGGCCAUGGUAACGCCAUCUGAUCAGCUCAAAUAAACCUUUUUUUGCAAACGGUUUUGUCAUUGCAUUUGCUUCACACUUUUCUUUGAAAGGUUUUUCUUGCUUUUAAUUGCGUUUUUUAAACCGACAAAGUUUUUAACCGGUUCACAUUGUCAAUUGACGGAACACGGUUCAUUUCAAUCUGGAGACUAUUUGCCCAGUUUGAUCUUUUUUGUUAACAUCCUCUUAUGGAGUAACACGGUGGUUAUUAUAACCCGGCAUGGUUUACAUAGUAAACCGGCGUCAUAUAUAUAUGGGAGCUGCUAUCUCCUCCAACAGUGUGGGUUUAUAAAACUCCGCUUCAAGAUUGGCCAAGCCAACUUCACGUUCAACGAUGGCAGGUAUUAUGUAUCUCAAAAAUUUGGUCAUAUACUUAAAAAAAUUCGGAUGUUUUGCUUUCAUGUAUGAAGACAUCAUAUUCCGCCUGACGGUACAACCGCGAUGGCACUUGAAGAUUUUUUAUUGCAGAAAGUACUUUGGAAAGUUCAUCAUCCAAAGGAAGAGCAAGUGGCAGCAAUUAUGCACGAAGGCAUAUCAACAUCCAAAGUAUCAGCUAGACUAUUACAAGGCAACACGAUGCCCACAAUAAGAUCAUUGUUUUUUCGCAAAGGAGAAGCAGUUUUAAACCGGCUUCCGAUUCAAGCUUGGUCACCAGCUCGGCCUGAUGGUUGUGGGCCAUCCCGCGCUGCUUCAGCUUCAGUUGCUCUACCCAGCGGCUGGAAAUCAAUAGUUGUCCAGUAGAUUCCCAUUAAUGCUUGAAAAACAGCUUCAUCAUGGAUCAGCAACGACGGGUCAAUAUCGGGAGCGUAAGUAUGCUUACGGAUUGGAGGGAUAAGAUUUUCCGCUUCAUGAAUUGGUGCAGCUAUUCGCUUGUUUUGAUUGUCAUAUUGGGCUUGAUAAUGAGAUAAGUCUGCUUCUUCAGCCAAUUGACAAGCUAGCGGACGCACCUCCCGGUUUAUUGCUCGCAGAUCCGCUUCACCAAACUCUGACCCGUCUUCCUUCAAGCUGGGAUAGCCCUGAGCUGCUUCAAUAGGAUCAAAAUCUGGCACCCAAGCUUUUGCCUAGAUUAAAGCAUUGACUGCACCGGUUCGGGCAGCAGAUUUCUUCAGCUCUUCAACCCGGGCAGGAAGCACCGAUAGUUUCAUCAGAGUGUCCUGAAUCAAGGUUAGUGUCGGCUUGUUGUGGGAUGCGGUACAGAUGAUCCACUAUGCACCAGUGUACAGUUGUUCGACCAAUGUAUAGGCGGCUUUCAAUUUCUUCUGCACAUCUGACCCCAAGUGACCAAUGCGUGUCCCUGAAAUAUCAUAAAGGGUUAACAAACCGGCAGCUCUGUAAGAAGGCAGAGUCAAUUUAGAAGUCAAACUGGCUUACCAAAGAUAGCAGUGGUCAUGGCAUGCACGUGCCUCUUUAUGCUGGUCAGUUCAUCCGCCACCAGUUUUAGUGCAGCCUCGGCAUCCUCUGCUCAUUUGAUUAAAGCGGACUUUUCAGUGGCCCAAUCCGCCCGCUUCUUCUUGAAGCUCUCCUUAAGCUGUUCCAUGGCGCUUAAAGCACUGGCUAGUUCCUCUUUUGCUUUGGAGGUUUCAGCUUGUUGGGUUUUCAGGUUUCCUUGGAGAUUGGCGACUUGGUUUUCUUUCGUCUUCAGCUCAGCCUACAUGCAGACAAUUAUAUGCUUCAACAAAACGGUACAAGGAUUGAAGUACCAACCACAUAACAAGUUAUGCACUUGGCACUUGGGGGCUAAUGCAUAUUCGAUCUUCAUCGUUCAAUUGCUUACAAAGUCCCAAGAUCAAUACAAGUAUUCAACUUGGCACUUGGGGGCUAAUGGCUAUUUGCUCGUAUAUAUUCUGAUGCGGCAAUCUCAAUUACUUAAAGUACCGGUUUAACUACGCUAAGUUGAACCGGCCCUUGGGGGCUACAUCAGCGAAUUUCAAAGCAUCAAGAUUUAUAUUAGUAAGUCCCGGUUUGAAAGAAGAUUACAAACAGGCCCUUGGGGGCUAGGAGAGUCAGCAAGAAUUGAAGCAUACAAGCAGGAAAGAGCAUAUCGAAGUUACCUCAUAUUUAUCUUUCAUCAUAUUAACCAGACCGGCUUCAUAGUCACGACUGGUAUACAGCCGAUUCAGGUAGCCGGAAUGGAUAUCUUAGGCGUUCAGAGCAGCGUAAAUCGCCAGAUCAGCAUUCCACUUGCCUUUGCCAAAGGCAGCAAAUUUUUCCUUGGUAGAAUGUUUGGACAAAGCGACAGGAUUGCUUGGCUCAGUAUGGCCAGUGCCAGUAAUGACAACCUCAUCAUCCUUGGUAUCGCCGGUUUGCACUGGGGCUGUUGGCUUGUCAGUAGGCUUUGUUGGACCGGUGGAUUUCUCAAUCCGGAUGGAGCUUGUGGGAUGAUUGACAGGAUUUGAGGUACCAAUAGGUAUCUCUUCAGCAAUAAGAUCGUCGUCUUGCUGCGGUGGAUCAUUGGGUAUAUCCUCAGGAAUAGCCGUUUCAAGAUCUGACGUCUUGCCCGGUUCAAGGACGGCAUCUUCUUCGGCCGCUUUGUCCAGGCGAGCCUUCUUGCUUGGCCUAGGUUUGGCCCAGAAAGGAAUAACAAAAUGAAAUACAACAUAUGUUCCAAGGCAAUGUGCUGCAAAUAUUAUGAUAAGUAUAGCGUACCCAAGCACCGUUUUGAGCGGUGGCAGCUGAGUAGCCGAUGACUCGCCAGAGGAUGAGUGGGAAGUAACCCGGUAAUCGGAGUCAGAUGGAUUAAGAGGUUGACGAAAGCAGCCCGCUUUAGGACAAGAACUGACAAGCAAAUUAGAGACCUCUGAGCGGCGUUUCCGAACCGGACUGUUCGGUAAACCGGCGGAGGUAACUACCUGGCCACUGUGACGAGUGGUGCGACGAGCAUCGUGCUGUUGGGUCUUCAUAAGAAAUUUGGGAUCCAAAUAAGCAAGAGGAUGAGAAAAUUUAACUUUCCGUUUUGCCUAACGGAUUUUUAGUGAAGGCAAAGGUUCUGAAUCGGAAGAGAGAAUAAUUACCUCUGCAGCAUCAGCGUUGAAAGAUCAUGGAUGUCGCCUAGAGGGGGGGGGGGUGAAUAGGCGCUUUAAAAUAAUUACGGUUUAGGCUUGAACAAAUGCAGAAUAAACCUAGCGGUUAAUUUGUCAAGCACAAAACCUACAACAACUAGGCUCACCUAUGUGCACCAAAAACUUAUGCUAAGCAAGAUAAACUACUAGGUAAUAGCAAGAUAUAUGAUAAGAAACAAUAUGGCUAUCACAAAGUAAAAUGCAUAAGUAAAGAGCUCGGGGUAAGAGAUAACCGAGGCACGCGGAGACGAUGAUGUAUCCCGAAGUUCACACCCUUGCGGAUGCUAAUCUCCGUUUGGAGCGGUGUGGAGGCACAAUGCUCCCCAAGAAGCCACUAGGGCCACCGUAAUCUCCUCAUGCCCUUGCACAAUGCAAGAUGCCGUGAUUCCACUAAGGGGCCCUUGAGGGCGGUCACCGAACCUGUACAAAUGGCAACCCUUGGGGGCGGUCACCGAACCCGUACACUUUGGCAACCCUUGGGGGCGGUCACCGGUACCCGUCAAAUUGCUCGGGGCGAUCUCCACAACCUAAUUGGAGACCCCGACGCUUGCCCGGAGCUUUACACCACAAUGAUUGAGCUCCGAACAAUACCAACCGUCUAGGGCGCCAAGGCACCCAAGAGGAACAAGCUCUAGGGUGCCCAAACACCCAAGAAUAAUAAGCUUCUCAAACUUCACUUCCACGUAUCAUCGUGGAGAACUCAAACCGAUGCACCAAAUGCAAUGGCAAGGGCACACGGAGUGCCCAAGUCCUUCUCUCUCAAAUCCCACCGAAGCAACUAAUGCUAGGGAGGAAAAUGAGAGGAAGAACAACAAGGAGAACACCAAGAACUCCAAGAUCUAGAUCCAAGGGGUUCCCCUCACAAAGAGGAGAAAGUGAUUGGUGGAAACGUGGAUCUAGAUCUCCUCUCUCUUUUCCCUCAAGAACUAGCAAAAAUCAUUGGAGGGAUUGAGAGUUAGCAAGCUGGAAGAAGGUCAACAAUGGGGGAAGAACACGAGCUAAAAGGAUUAGGUUCAUUGGGGAAGAAGACCCCCUUUUAUAGGUGGGGAAAAUCCAACCGUUAUGCUCACAGCCCGCACAGAGCGGUACUACCGCUAGGGCGGAAGUACCCCUUUGAAAAACAACAGCGAGGAGGCAAAAGGCCAGAAGAACCGCCGGAGCGGUACUACCGCUCGUCCUCACGGUACUACCGCUCGACCUCACGGUACUACCGCAAAUGGUAGCGGUACUACUGCUUGCGAGCGGUACUAAAAAAUACAUCCGGGCCUACCACCGCAAGACUUGGGACGAGUUUUUAGUCCGGAGCGGUACUAUCGCUGUAGGAGCCGCGGUAGUACUGCUCUGGAGCGGUAGUAAAAAAUUACAUCCGCUCCAAUUCGCGGUAGUACCGCUGCAGCCUUUUCAGAACACCAAAACUGCCACAACUUUUGCAAACGGACUCCGAAUUCGAUGAAACCAAGUUUGUUGGAAAGCUAGCGACAAGGGCUAACACAAUCUUGAAAGAAAUAUCAAUAAGAAGCAAAUUAGAAAAGGCCCAUAAGAAAAUGGUGAGGACCCUUCCUCGGAUAAGACCGGUAAAACCUACAACACCGGAAACAUCACAGAAGACGCAUGCGAACUCCGUUUUCGAUGAAGCCAAGUUUGUUGGAAAGCUAGAGACAAGGGCUAACACAAUCUUGAAAGAAAUAACAAUAAGAAGCAAAUUAGAAAAGGCCCAUAAGAAAAUGGUGAUGACCCUUCCUCAGAUAAGACCGGUAAAACCUACAACACCGAAAACAUCAUAGAAGACGCAUGCGAACUCCGUUUUCGAUGAACUCAAGCUUGUCAUCAAGAUGACCAUAAGCUCUAAGACUCACAAAGAGAACCAAACAAGAACCAAGAAACAUGAUGCAAGGAUGCAAUGGUUUGAGCUCUCGACGAACGAUACGAUCAAGCUACUCACUUGAGAGCCCCCCUUGGUAGUACGGCUAUCGAUCCUAUAACCCGGUCUCCCAACUACCACCAUGAGACCAGUAAAAUAGAAAACCUAUCAAGGGCAAACAUUUGCCUUGCACAUGAUCCACUUGAGUUAGAUGAUGACGAUCUUGUCCUCCUCAAGAUGGACCACCUUUUUUGAUUGCGUUGGGUCGAUGAAGACUAAAUGAUUGCUCCCCCAUACUCCACUAUGGGUGAGCCACUCUUCGGCACAUCUUCACAAGUCCAUUGACACCACAAUGGAUGGCAAGCUUCGAGCACUUGAUCUCUUCGUGAUUCUCCACUUGAAAUUGCACACGGCAAUCUUGAUGACGAUCACCACUUGAUGUCAUCCUUACCAUGGGUUGUAUGAUAUCAUCCUCUUGACGCAAGCCCAUGGACACGUACCUAACCCCACAUAGACUCUCACAUAGACCAUGGGUUAGUACACAAAGUGCAAUGGACAAUGCUUACCAUACCAUGGGAUCACUUGAUCCCUCUUGGUACAUCUUCUACUCUUUGUGAGUUGAUCAACUUGAUUCACUCUUGACUUAGUCUUGAUCAACCUUGAAUCUUUCCAACUCUCUUCGUUUGGAUGAUGUCUUGAAGGUAAACAUGAAUGAUCACACAAUCUUCUUCUUCAAGACAUGCUUGCAAUAAGCUCAACUCUCAAAUGACCAAUAUUCCUUGAAUAGCACCUUGGUCGACACAAACUCUCCUUGAAACCAACACAUGUACUCCAAGAAAAGCCUAUGGACAAAACCUUCAAAUAUAACUCAAGGAAACCAUUAGUCCAUAGAGAUUGUCAUCAAUUACCAAAACCAAACAUGGGGGCACCGCAUGUUCUUUCAAUCUCCCCCAUUUUGGUAAUUGAUGACAAUCACUUUCACGAGAGUUUAUACAAGGAAUUAUGCAUCACCAAGCAAUGCAACAACCAAUAAUGCAUGUGUAUGAGAUGCAAAUGCUUAGGAACAAAACCAAAGUAAGGAGAAAACUCUGAAGACUUCUCCACAAAACUCUCUGAAACUUCUCCCCCAUUGGCAUCGAUUGCCAAAAUGGGCGAAAAGCAUAGAAGGCCAAUAUAAAUUGUAUUCCUCCAUAAAUUGUGUAUUUCUCAACAAGAGAGUGGAAUGCAAUACACAUAUCCAACGGUAAUACUUGCAGGAAGACCAACUAUAUUGAGGCACCAAGAUUGCUAAAGGAAUGAUAUGCCACAAGGACAUAACAAAGAGAGAAACAAGCAAUCAAGCAAUCAAAAGAUACCAAUUGAAGCAAGCUAUCAAAAGAUACCAAUUGAACCAACUAGGCCAAAGAUCCUACGAGCUACAUGAAUAAAGGAUAUUAUGAUAAGAGCAAAGGAGUGUUCUAAAGAAACUAGAGAAGCUCCCCAUGAUUUGUGCACACAUAAGAAUUUUUGUAUUUGGAUACAAAGUGCACAAAAUAGGAUCAUAGCUCCCCCAAAAUCAAUGGAAACUUACAACAAGUGCAAGUGAGCAUAUAGGAAACUAAGCCUAGUACAUGUAACAAACACGUGGUUGAGCAAUAAGUGAAAAAGACAACUUAAGAAUGGGCUCAACCAAAAUGAUGUGUGUGAGUCAAGGCAAUGCACUUGAGAAGACUAAUGUACGGAUGAGCAUUAAGCAUCAAUAAAGUCUUGAAAAAAUGAGGCAACACAGUGCAAGGCCUAUCAUUCCCACAUACAACUAGCAAAUGGGUUCACAAGCUAACUAAUAAGCAUAUAAAGAACCUAUGCUUGUGACAACCCGUGGCGAAGAUAGAAGAUGAAAGCCUCAUCAAGACGAGGGAUACCAAUUAAGAUGGAAAAAGCCUCGUAGAGAUAAGCAUGAGGAAAAUAAUCUUCACCACGUAGGAGUGCAUCAAGAUGCAACGAGAUACGAUACACACUCAAGGCAAAAGCUUUCACGGAGCCACCAAAGAAAUAACAUAAGAAAGGCAAGGUGGGCGUGAAAGAAAGGAUAUCAUCUAGAGAUGUAAUUUCUCUCAAGUGUAUAAGGUUCUAGGUAGACGAAAUCAUGAUGAUAUAUAUCUAUAAAGAAUGAUGUACACCCGAAAUAGUUACAACAUGAAGGAACAAGAUAUCCAAACGGAAGUCAUACAUAUACCAAUAAGAUAUUUGCUUGAGAGCAUAGCACAAGGAUAGAUAUGGUCUUAUUGCAUAUAAAUGAAUUCCAACCACACGAACAUCAAAGACAUCACAACUAGCAACAAGACAUCAUUGUUGGGAUGCUUUGAGAAAGGAAACAAGUAUCACAAGAGAGAAUGGAUAACAUGCCAUGAUACAACCUACGAAAGGUUGAUGCAAGAAAUGUGUGCAUGAAGUAGAUGAUGAUACUUGUUACUGAGAUACCAUUGGAUGGAUGUAGUAGAUGCCAAUUAAAGGUAGAUAGUAGUUCAUUAAUCAUCCUAGCUUGACUCCAAUAAGCACAUGGUGACACCACCUUCCUUGUGAGUGAGCCGAGCAUCCAAUGCAUCUCCACUUGUUCAUAGAACAACAACACAAACAAAAUGGUACCCAAACUCAUUGGGACCAAAGAGUUAGAGAACCAACAACACAUAGGACAAACUCCACAUAAAUAUGUGCAUAUAGAUAUGAAAAUGAAUUUCAUGCACAUCUCAUCCAAUUUAAGACUUGCUAGAGUUCCCCCUAUAUAUUGGGUCAAAGAAAGAAAACAUGCCAAAGAAACUACAAGGAGUAAAUACGCAUGCUCAAGACUUUCAAGAACCGAGACCAAAAGACAAAGAAAUACCAAGCGAAGAAAAGAUACCAAAUGAAUAAAUCAUCACUUGGAGGAUAUCCAUAAAAGAUACAUCAAGGAAUGAGAUAUCCAUUGAUACACUCAAAAAGAAAGAUGUCAAACUCCCAAAAGAGAGAAUGGUUCCAAACAAACCAAGCCCUCUACAGAGUUUCAUGAUGGCACACAGCACCAAAAAGAAACGGCUUGCCUUCCACAAACACACACUUGAUAAGGAUCACAAGAUGAGUGUUUUAUAGAGAAUAGGAUGGCUCCCCCAAGACUAGUGCAUUAUAGAGAAUUUGCAUUUGAAUACAAAAUGCACGGGGUGGGAUCACCACUUUCACUAUAUCUAGAAAACACUAGACAAGGUCAAGAAAUCAACAAGAUCCACAAGUGGUAUGGAAUACAAUGGGAGUUGACACAAUCCUAGGCAAGAGAAAAAGCAAAUAAAAGCAAAGGCCAAUGUAAAGAUGAUCAAUAAUUUCUACCACACAUAAGUGAGUACCAAUUGUUAAAAGACAAGAAGUAUUUGGAAAUAAUUCCCGAUGGUAGAUAACAAGGAUAUCCGACAUCAUCUUCACACCAAACAAAAAGAAAAUUACAACUUGUAGAGCUAACAUGCCACCUAAGAACAAGAUAAUUCACAAUAUCAACUCUAGAUGACAAUAUCUCAAAUGUACACAUUUUCUAGGCUAGUAAUAUACACAUAGCAUAUUACUCCCCCAUAAUGUGAUACCAAUUAAAGAUAGACAAGAGGCAAUUAAAGGAUCCAACAAUAGAUAAUUAAUGGACUAUUUAGAAUUUGAAUUUCUCAUGAGAAGACAUACUACAUAGCGACUAGAUAAGCUUGCAAUAUAAAUUCUAAGUGGUAUUCCCCAUGUACCCACCUUUAUAGGAUUGUGAAGUGCACAAAGCACAUCACUCCCCCAUAAUGGGAUAUUCCAUUAAUCUCUCACAAGAGCCAACUAAGAAAUAAACAAGAUGCAAAAGGCUCAACGCAUGACACACACGUACAUGAUGUGCAAACCAACACACACAUACUUGAUUGCUCAAGAUAAUCAAGUUGGAAGCACAACAUAUACAAACACAUGCAAGGAACAAAGCCAAACAUGCAAAGGGGCAAGUAACUUUCAAUGUAAACAAUUUAAGCACGAGUUACCACAAGGAGGAACAUUGGAUAUAAGAUAGAAACUUGAUAAUCCGAAUGACUUGGCUUGAGACAAUAAGAAUGAUGAAGUCCCCUUAAUUCUUCAUAAUGUAGCCAAGUCUCCAAUGACCUCCAACAUCACCUAUUGAUCAAGUUUGAGCUUGUUGGUCCCCAACCAAGUUGGGUCCUAAGAGGUUAGUCACAAUAGGCUUGGCUACCCAAAUGGUUCUUUGCUUCAAACCACUUUGAGUACCAACAAACUUGGCAACCACAUUGCCAACCUUAUCCUUCCCAAAAGAAUAGACAUCAUCAAUAAUAAUUGGGUUGGAUAAGUUACCACUAGUGCAUGAAGAAGCGAGGUGACCUUUUUCGCGACAUAGGUAGCAAUGUCUACUCUUCACUUUCUUCUCACUUGAUUUCUCAACUUGAGAAGCAUAAGCUUGAGUCUUCCUGGGAAGAGGCUUUUCUUCAACUUGAGGUUGAGAAUGAGAGUGAACUUGUGGCUGCUUCCCUUGUUGCUUGUCACUAAUGGGCUUCUUCUUCAAUGGGCAAGAUCUAACAUGAUGCCCUUCUACUUUGCACUUGAAGCAAACAAUCUUGGCCGAAUUCUUGACUUGUUCUUGGCCCUUCUUUUUGUUCACCUUGGACUUCUUCUUCUUGUUGGAGUUGAAUCCAAGUCCACCUUUGUCAUUGGGGGAUUUUUGCACACUCAAGAUAUUGUUGAGUAUGAAUUUCCCUUCAUGACUCUUUUCCAAGUCUUUCUUCAAAGAAGUGACUUGGGCCUUGAGCUCUUUGAUUUCCUCUACAUGGUUAGUCUCAACACAAGUACUAGAGGAAGUAUAAGCUUCAUCGUUAGAGCAACAAGGCAAGGAAAGCAAUUCAUCACAAGAUGUACUAACAUUAUGCAUGGAUGAAUCGCGAGGACUAGCACAAGGCAAUAUAGCAUUUUGAAUAAAAGUAGUGCUAGUAUCCACAUGAGGCUCACUAGAUGUUACCUUAGCAAGCAUGGCCUCAUGAGCUAACUUUAGCACAUUAUGGGAUACUAGAAGAUCAUCAUGAGAGCUUGUGAGCUUUACAUGAUUUUCUUCCAACAUCCCAUAAUUGCUAGAUAGCAACUCAAGUUGAGCCCUUAGCUCAACAUUCUCCUUCAAAAUGGAUGCUUCACAAGAGAUAGAGUUAGUAGCACAAGCAUCAUCAUUAACAACAAGAGGAGAGGACACCUUGGAAAGCUCUUUUGAAUACAAAGCUUUAAGUUGAGCAUGAGACUCGGUGAGUUUGAUGAGCUCACUCUUAAUGACCCUUGAUCCAUUUUCGAGGUGCUCAAAGUCCCCAAGGAAUUUAUCAUGUGCAACUUCAAGCUCCUCAUUUUUUAUUUCAAAAUCAUUGGCCACCUCAAGAGCUCUAUCACGAGAUUCCCUCACUCUAGAUAAUUCUAGAGCAAAAGUCUCCUCAAGAGAUUCCUUGGUGGUUUGUUUAAGUUCGAGAGCUUGGGAGAGGUCCGCGAUCUCAUUAGCGUAAUCACGCUCAUGACCUUCCAUUUUAUCAAUGGUGACCUCAUGCUCCUCAAGACGAGAUUCCAACUCAUCAAUAUAUUUCUUGCCCUCAAUGGCAAUGGACAUGAUUUUCAUGAAGUUGGAACGAGCAAUUUUAUUUUUAUUAAGAUCUUUAAAAACCAUUUCCCCCUUAAUUUUUAAGGAGGCAACAUUAUCAUUAUCUUCAUCAUUAUCCUUAUCAUCAUUAGCAUCAACAUCAUCAUCAAGAGACAUAUUGGGUUUCAAAGUAGGAGAUACCUUUGAAUCCUUAGCCAUAAGGCAAAAAGCAAUAGAUGAUGAUGUAGGAUCCCUUGAAGCACCAUUUAAAACCACAUCUUGUUCCAUUGAGUGUUGGGUCUCCUCUACAUUGUUAGCACCACAACUCGAGGAAAUACAAGCAUUUUUAUCAUAGCAACAAGAUAUAGCAAGCAUAUCAUCAUGAGAUUUAGUCAAACAAUUUCUACAAGAUAUGCACGGACUAUCAACACAAGCAUGUGAAACAUGUAUGGUGCUCGAAGUGUUAAAUUCCAAAGAAGAAGCAUUGCAAUAAGAUAGUGAUGAAGGAUCAUCCACAAUAAGCAUAUUAUCAUCAUUGCAAUGACCAACACUACUCACCAUAUCAUUACCUUGUGGCAAACCACAUGUAGGUGAAGUAGAAGAAGUUGAGAAGACUAUACGGUCGGAUGUGGAGGGAGAACAAUCAUCCCCACAAAACUUGGACACGCCAUAUUUAUCUUGAAGCUUUGUCCACAACUCAUGAGCAUCCCGAAACGGCAUGAGUUGAAAUAUAACUACAUUGCUCAAAGCAUCGAAAAGCACAUUAGAAGCUUGAGAAUUGAGAUAAGAGUUUCUCUCAUCCUCUAAAGAUAAUCUUUGGGGAUCCUUUGGAGGAGAAAAACCCAUAUCUACAAUUCGCUCUAAAUUUGGGUCCAUGACCCUAAAGAGAUUAAGCAUGCGAAUUACCCAAACAUCAAAAUUUGUGCCAUCGAAAGUAAGAGUGUCAGAGAAUCCUAAUCCCCUAGUUGACAUCCUUACUCUCUAGGCGGUUAAGCCCUAUAAAGAGAGACAAGGCUCUGAUACCAAUUGAAAGAUCGUGGAUGUCGCCUAGAGGGGGGGGGUGAAUAGGCGCUUUAAAAUAAUUACGGUUUAGGCUUGAACAAAUGCGGAAUAAACCUAGUGGUUAAUUUGUCAAGCACAAAACCUACAACAACUAGGCUCACCUAUGUGCACCAAAAACUUAUGCUAAGCAAGAUAAACUACUAGGUGAUAGCAAGAUAUAUGAUAAGAAACAAUAUGGCUAUCACAAAGUGAAGUGCAUAAGUAAAAAGCUCGGGUAAGAGAUAACCGAGGCACGCGGAGACGAUGAUGUAUCCCGAAGUUCACACCCUUGCGGAUGCUAAUCUCCGUUUGGAGCGGUGUGGAGGCACAAUGCUCCCCAAGAAGCCACUAGGGCCACCGUAAUCUCCUCACGCCCUCGCACAAUGCAAGAUGUCGUGAUUCCACUAAGGGACCCUUGAGGGCGGUCACCGAACCCGUACAAAUGGCAACCCUUGGGGGCGGUCACCGAACCCGUACACUUUGGCAACCCUUGGGGGCGGUCACCGGUACCCGUCAAAUUGCUCGGGGCGAUCUCCACAACCUAAUUGGAGAUCCCGACGCUUGCCAGGAGCUUUACACCACAAUGAUUGAGCUCCGAACAACACCAACCGUCUAGGGUGCCAAGGCACCCAAGAGGAACAAGCUCUAGGGUGCCCAAACACCCAAGAAUAAUAAGCUUCUCAAACUUCACUUCCACGUAUCACCGUGGAGAACUCAAACCGAUGCACCAAAUGCAAUGGCAAGGGCACACGGAGUGCCCAAGUCCUUCUCUCUCAAAUCCCACCGAAGCAACUAAUGCUAGGGAGGAAAAUGAGAGGAAGAACAACAAGGAGAACACCAAGAACUCCAAGAUCUAGAUCCAAGGGGUUCCCCUCACAAAGAGGAGAAAGUGAUUGGUGGAAACGUGGAUCUAGAUCUCCUCUCUCUUUUCCCUCAAGAACUAGCAAGAAUCAUUAGAGGGAUUGAGAGUUAGCAAGCUCAAAGAAGGUCAACAAUGGGGGAAGAACAUGAGCUAAAAGGAUUAGGUUCAUUGGGGAAGAAGACCCCCUUUUAUAGGUGGGGAAAAAUCCAACUGUUAUGCUCACAGCCCGCACAGAGCGGUACUACCGCUCCAAGGAGCGGUACUACCGCUAGGGCGGAAGUACCCCUUUUAAAAACAACAGCGAGGAGGCAAAAGGCCAGAAGAACCGCCGGAGCGGUACUACCGCUCGUCCUCACGGUACUACCGCAAAUGGUAGCGGUACUUCUGCUUGCGAGCGGUACUAAAAAAAUACAUCCGGGCCUACCACCGCAAGACUUAGGACGAGUUUUUGGUCCGGAGCGAUACUACCGCUAUAGGAGCCACGCUAGUACUGCUCUGGAGCGGUAGUAAAAAAUUACAUCCGCUCCAAUUCGCGGUAGUACCGCUGCAGCCUUUUCAGAACAAGCGUGGCUGGCUUUGGCAUCAUCCUGACAAAUAUCAUCAUCAAUAAGACGCAUGAAAAAUAAGCCAAGUGAGUCAAGCCCUACCUCAAGGUCCGGAUUAUCCACAUCAUCAUCAGGGGCCGGAUUAGAGAAUGCAGUGGUUCUUUUCCUAUGAGCAGUCUUCUUCACAGCUUUAGUCUUUUGCCGGGUUGCUCUUUCCGGUUUGUCUGGUUUUUCUGGUUUCUCCUGCGGCAGUUUCUCGCUCCAAAACGGAUCAUUGCCCUGGUUACACAGACAAUGAUAUUAAACAAUGACCAGAUAUAUCAAUAACAAAUUCAGCAAAAAGAAAAAUCAAAGUCUUACAGCUGGCAGUUUGUUGGUGGCACAGAAGGGAAGCAGGCCGUUUCUAGCACACAGAUGGGUUCCGGUUCAUUCAACAUCUUAUUUACCGCCUCUGUGAUUUCUUCGUCGGAGAGCUGGAUGUUGGAAUGUCGCAGUGGGCCGUCAACACUGCCAGUAUACUCGCACAUCAAACUGGAGCGUUGACUCAGAGGCAGUAUGCUCCAUGAUAUCCAACAGCGAGCGAGAUCAACCCCUGUUAAACCAUUGGCCAUAAAGGCUCUGAGCUUCGAUAGUUGAGGAGCAUAUUUGCUUCUCUCCUGGGCAGUCAACCUUUGCGGAAAGGGGUGUGUAUUGCUGAGCCGCUCCGGACGAAAGCCAGGCAAGGGAUUCUCAUCAGCAGGGGAGGUGUCUUUGCAAUAGAACCAUGUCUGAUUCCACUCUUUGGGGUGGCUGUGUAGUUUGGCGUGAGGGUAUGUGACCUCUUUUCUUUUCUGAAUCGCCACGCCACCCAACUCCGUAUUGGAGCCGUCAGUAAACUCAGUACGGCGGUUUAGAUGGAAAAGGUCUCUGAACAAUUCCACUGUGGGUUCCUGUUGAAAGAACGCCUCACAAAGCACUUGAAAGUGACACAUAUUUGUAACAGAGUUGAGGCCAGUGUCUUGUGGAUGGAGUUGGAAAUCGGCUAAAACAUCCCGGUAAAAUUUAGAACCGGGCGGCUUAAAGCCCCGGGCUAAGUGAUCUACGAAAAUAACGACCUCUCCUUCUUGAGGUGUGGGAGGGCAUUCUUUGCCAGGAGCCCUCCAAUGGAUGGUAUCUUUGCUGCCUAAAGCGCCAAUCAGGACUAAAUCGUCCAGUUGAGCCUCUGUGACGCGAGAAGGAACCCAAUUGCACUCAUAUACUUGCUUGGCCAUGAGGAAAUCUACAAGGUAGAAGAUCCCGGUUCAAAAAUGCAUUGAUCAAGGUACAUUGGUAUGUGCAAUGUUAAACCGGAGACAGAUCUAUCUAAACCGGAGUUUUAUGAAGCAGUAACAUCUGGCGGUUCAACAAGGGGACUAAUGGUGUAUACCGUUUUGGCAAUUUUUUCUCUACAAGGUUAAACCGCCUGAUCUAAGCAUUGAGACAGCUGAGAUUGCGGAUGGAUAAGUGUGCAGAAACAGAUUUCACAAGAUUUCUCUACAGCGUUGGAUCUGAAGCAAGUUCAGAAAAUAAGAAAAAUAUUCAAAAACUCAAGGCAGAACAGUAUUGAAUCAAUGGGCAGAAAUAUAUGUGAGAUCUAUGGUCUUGGGCAUGAAAAUAAAGGCGGAUACUAAAAGCUACCAUUACAUAGAGCAGGGAUUCUCAGAUGCAUCCAGGGUUAGUAUAUGAACACGAACAUGUGAUGAACAAUGCAAGAACAUGAAACCCUAGAACAGAUCUGUGUUGAGAAGAGCAGAAGGCUUACCAGAGUUAAGGAAGACGCGGAAGGUUGCCGCGGUGCUCUGGUGCGUUCAGGUUGAUGCAGCGGCCAAGGUUGGUGCAGAAGUUGACGGCGGCGGCGGAGCUCCGAGGGUGUCGACGCGAGGAAGACGACGAAGAAAGGAACGAAGGGGAGAAAAGAAAUGACCCUUCGGUCCUAUUUAUAAGGCAAAAGGACAUGUGUCAGGCGUGACAAUCAAGGUGCUAUGAAACGGAGCUGUCGCCUUGAUUUCCGCAGAUCUAUUAAACAAAGAAGCAUAAUGGAUAGCUUCGUUAUGACAGGUGACGUCAUUCCGGUUUACAGCAACCAGAGAAAAUGACAUCAUGGCGGUUUACCAAUUUAUGAGAAGAUGUUGAAGAUGAAGUUUUUGUUAAGGGAUUGACAUGAACCCGUUCAAAUCAAUUUGGGGCCUAAUAUUGGGGAUAUUACUGCUGGGCGUAAACCGGCCUAUCUGGGCCGGGUCAACUUCAUCAGUAGUUCAAGAGUGCUAAAAGCCCAAGAAGGCAGAUGAGGGCCUAAGGCCCGUAGUCGGUUUAAGACUUGUAGCCGCAAAUCGGUAUUUGUAUAUAAACUUGUAUUGUAAGUUAGGAAUAAGGAGAGACCAACCCGGAUACGAAUAUCGACCGGUGUUGGGACUUUGUGAACUGACGGGCGUCACCCGUGUAUAUAAGGGGACAGCCCGGCGGCGGUUCAGGAGGACAGACAACAACUCGAGACAUAGGCGAAGCUUGUUUGCUCCCUAGUCAUCAAAACCCCAUCAAUUCCAUCACAACUAGACGUAGACUUUUACCUUCAUCGAAGGGGCCAAACUAGUAUAAACUCUCUUGCGUCCCUGUGUCCGCUUUAACCCCUUCAAGCUAACCCGUCGCGAUGGCUUCACGACUGUGUCUUGCCCUCUCGCAGGCCAUCAUCGUCCCCUUACCCAAGAACCAUCUUUGGUCCAUGCAGCGUAGGGACCCUUCCCCUUCGACUGAAGCAUCAGGCAGCGGUUCCACUUCGAUGAGCGGUGGGAAAGCGAGCCAUCAUUUGUGCUGAAGCAAAUACCUCCGAGGCUCACCACUGCCGGUCAUGAGGACGACGUUGGAGACCCGCCGCGCCUGCCCUAGACUAGUUCAGUUAUGUUUUAGUAAUGUUUCAUGAGAAAUGUGUUUUGCUUCGAGUUUUUUUGUAUCACUGAUAAAAAGCCUAUUUUGUCAUGAAAAUUUGCAGACAUGAAGCAUGCGUUCCUACGCAUGCACAUUUUUUCAGAAUGUUUUAAAACUUAUUAAAAGGCCGGUUUAUUCGUUUUUUGCAAAAAGUUUGGGCUCAGACCGGGGAGCCAAAUAUCCUCACUGGGAAACACUGUGUGUUUCUCCUCGUGAUGGACAGAGGCCAUUCUUCAGACCUGUUUCCUCUAUCCAGCGUCAGUGGCGGCAGCGGAUAGCCAUGGCUGAACCUUGUAAUCCAAUCAUCCUCUGUUCCUCUUCCGGCUUUCCUUGCAGCCCCGCGCCGCACCACAGACAGCAGAGCAGCCGGCGGGCGGGGAGAGCUCACCCCACCAGCUGCCGCACCUCUCCUCGGCCCCCGGCCCGCCAGAUCUCAGUUCCCCCGCGAGUAACUUCUCCGGCUCGGCCCGGCCCGGCCUGGCCGCAUGGAGCAAGCCGUUGAUCUGGUCCCACGGAGCUCAAGAGAUUUGGGGGCUACACUGCUCGCCUCAUCCACGCUUACAUCCCCAGGUAAGUCUCAUGUCGGAGACAGUCAUCGCAAAUUAAUCAGUAUUUAUUUCCGUGUCCAUCCAUACCAACAAUCGUUCUGUUCUCCAUGCAUCUUACGUAGAGUAGUUUUCUUGAUUCCAUCUACCAGGCUUUAACUGGGUCCGAUGAUAUGCGCUUAGUCCCUUUGGGAUCCUUCAGUUUACCCCCAAAUAAGCUUUUUGUUUUGCACAUGCUAAAAAGUUGUUGUAAUCCUUCGAAAAGUUCAGGGACAGAAGAAAUGACACACCAAUACAAUGUAUUCAGAGACACAUCCUCCAUUCCAAACUGCUCCUGAUAUAAAAGCAAAAAUCCCAGCAUCCCAAUCGUAUGGAAGUCCAGUUUCGCAAACUGGCUAGCCAUUCAUGACGACAGCACUAUACAGUUCAGUUAUGCAGAAUUGCACAGAGCUGGUUAAUGUUGACCUCACAUUUUACAUUUUAUUCACAUGUACAGUGAUAUACAGGGAGCAGAGAAGAGUGCCCAAGUAAAUCAAGUGCAAGCCACUUGGAUACCGUCCCUAACUCUUAAGCAUCCUAUCCUUUUUAAGCAUUACAAGUCGCUCAACUACCGCCGCCAUUUCGGGCCGAUCUUCUACAUCUUCUUUUAGGCACUCAAUUGCCAGCUUGCCAAUUCCUUCCAGGCAAUAGAUAUCUUCUUCUUCAGCUGCGAUCUCCUUGUCCAACAUUGCGCUACCGCUCUUUUCUUUCUCACAAACUUUACGGAACUCCAAAAUGAGGCUACAGUAUUCGUCGUAUACACUUCGCUUCCUGGUAAUGAGUUCUAAGAGAACCGCCCCAAAGCUGUAGACGUCGCUUUUUUCUGUCAGUUGCCCGGUUUUAAGGAACGUUGGGUCAACGUAAGCCAUGUCCCCGGCUACAAUCUUGCUGAAAUAAUAUUCCUCUCUAAGCAGCUUCCAUAACCCGAAAUCCAAGAUUUUUGGUACGAACUUGUCAUCCAGAAGUAUGUUGUCCGGUUUGACAUCACCGUGCCGUAUGGCUUGAUUUCCAUAGGAGUGCAUAUAUGUUAAGCCUUGUGCAGUUCCAAUUGCAAUAUCCAGACGCAAGUCUAAGGGGAGCUUUUGGUUUCUGCUGUUGCCAUGAAGGAUGUCUUGAAGACUUCCUUUGCCAGCAAACUCAUACACCAACAUUGGAACAUCCACCUCCAGGCAGCAACCGAUGAGCUUGAGAAUAUUCACGUGCAUCAUAUGUGUCUGGAUCUCUAUUUGCUCGAUAAACUGCUCCUUUAAAGCUUCAGUUACCUUGACAGAGGACAUAACUGCCACUGCGGUGUUGUCAGGAAGGGUUCCUUUGAAGACUCUACCAAAGCUUCUGAUUAAAAGAAACUCUGAGUAGCUGUUGGUGAUUUUUCUUGGUUCACUUUUUUUUGAAAGAUCCAGCUUGGCUGGCGUUGAUUGAUUUAGAAGAGAGCAUAUGAAAGACAAGGUUUGAUCAAGCGAUCAGAGGAAAAAGGAAAGAGAUACAAUCAGAGGGCAGGCCUUUAGCCUGCAGCUCCCAGUCUAGAAAACCCUAGGCGAUUAUCUCACAACUAGGUCCGCGAAGGGGGGCUCGAUUGACUUUGCUCCGGCAAGCCGCCAGUGCUCCAUCAUGCGUCGAAUGGCGUCGAUGACGUCCUUUACCACCGCUAUCUUCGAUCUGAAGGUGCAAUUAUUUCUUUCCAUCCAAAUUGCCCAGGUGGUAGCCAUGAUCAUAGUCUUCACGCCCCUCCUGUUUUCUGCUCUUGUUAUGUUGAGAAUGGCCGUGACUGCCGAGGGUGUGCAUCGUCGAUCUUGCAGAGGCGGGGCGAGCGACGAGCAUCCAUUCCAUUCCGCCACCUUAGCCCAAGUUGCUUGUGUGAAUGGGCAGUUCCAGAAGAUAUGCACGGAGGACUCAAGGUUUUUGAGACAAAACUGACAGAAGUAUGGAUCUGGCCAUUGUCGACGCUGCAGACGGUCGUUACACCAAAUCUUAUCGUGGUGAAUCAGCCAGGAGAAGAUUUUGAUCUUGCCCGGUGCCCACACCUUCCAAAUGGCCGAUUUCAUUCCAUUGUUUGGUAUGUUUUUAAACUGGGCAUUGUAGGCUGAGCUUGUGGAGUAGGAUCCCUUUCCAUUUUCUGUCCAGAUGAUCGUAUCUUCCCGAUGCUCGUUGUUCAGCCCGCUGUGCUCUCUGAUCAUGCGGGCCAGCCUGACUACAUCAUGUACGAUUUCUUCAUAUCGUCCAUUGCCGAAACUGCGGAUCCAGCAAUCAUUGUGCAGUGCCUCAGCCACAGUUUUGAGCUUGAUUCUUGAUCUCUUGAACAGCAGAGGAAAGGAUUGACAUAGAGGUACAUCUCCCAGCCAGUGGCAGGUCCAGAAUUUGGUUGAUUUGCCGUUUCCAAUGGCAAUUUUCGUGGCUCGAGUGAAGAGGGCCCUGUCACUGCUGUCGCAUGGGAUUGGGAAAGCUUUCCAAGGCCUGUCCGGCUGCAUCCAAUCCAACCAAAGCCACCGAAGACGAAGUGCUCUGCCGAAAAGGUUGAGGUCCUGAAUGCCAAGCCUGCCCUUUUGGACGGGAGAGCAAACUGUUUUCCAGUUAACUUUGCACUUUCCGCCUGACAAUUCUUCAUCUUGCGCCCAGAGAAAGCGCCGCCUGGCCUUGUCAAUCUCCUUCAGAAGCUUUUUUGGGAGCCGUAUAACAGUCAGCGCAAAAGUUGGAAGUGCUGACAGUACGCUACGGACGAGGACUCUACGACCCGCAAGAUUCAUAAGCCUACCCUUCCAACCAGCGAGGCGAGCCCUAAUCCUGUCGAGGAGAAAUUGCAGAUGCACUAAGCGAAUUCUACCAGUGGAGAUCGGGAGGCCUAGAUAAGUCAUAGGGAAUCCUAUUACGGAGCCACCAAAACUAUGCAGCACAUCAGCGGUGUCUAUAUUGUUGCAUCUAAUUAGGGCCACGGAGGAUUUGCUUUGGUUUAAACAAAGACCGGAGGCGUCCCCGAAUAGAUCAAGAAGAUGCAGGAGCGAGUCGACCUCCUCUUUGAUUGGGUUGGCGAAGACCACAGCGUCGUCAGCAUAGAGGCUAAUCCUCAUGCUGGCACCUCUUCCUGGCAGAGGAGAGAAGAUGCCAAGGUUUACAACAGCGUCGAGGAGGCGGUAGAGGGGGUCGAUGGCGAUGAUGAACAGCAGAGGGGAGAGCGGAUCGCCUUGUCUCAAACCCUGCAAGUGUACUAUGGCAUGCCCUGCAUCGCUGUUUAACAGACAGGAGGAUGUCGCCGUGGAGAGAAGUAUGGAGAUUCAGUCUCUCCAUCUUGCAGGGAAGCCUAAAUGCUGCAGCAGCUCGAGAAGGUAAUCCCAAGAGAUGGAGUCGAACGCUUUCUCUAUGUCUAAUUUGAAGAGCAGAGCAGGCUUGUUUCUUCUGUGGAGAGAUUUUACGCAUCCUUGGACGUAGAGAUAACUGUCGUGAAUGCAUUUUCCCUUUUGGAAAGCUGAUUGUGCAGGGGAUAUGAUUUGCGGGAUGACAACGGCCAGUCUCAUAGAUAGGACUUUGGCAACUAGCUUCGCCACUGAACCCAUCAAACUGAUGGGUCUGAAUUGCUUCACUUCACGUGCACCAUCUUUUUUAGGGAUCAGCGUGAUGAAGGCCUUGUUCAAAUCAGAAUAAUUUGUGUUGAUCGCCCUGUAGAAUUUGGAGAAGACAGCCAUGAUGUCAUCCUUGAUGAUGCUCCAACACGAACGAAAAAACUGGCCAGUGAAUCCAUCAGGGCCUGGGGCUUUUUCAGCCGGAGAGCUCACAACAGCUGCCCAAACCUCUCCCUCUGAGAACGGGUUAUCUAAACCCACACCUGUCACUUGAGAUAAUUGUAGCUGAUCCCAGUUGAUUGUGAGGGGCCUAUUUUUCCUUUUGCCCAGCUGGUUCGAAAAGUGCCUAAAAAUCUCUUGAGCUUUCUCCUGAUGCUGGGAUAAGACCUUCCCUCCCGCAGUUUGCAGAGUAUGGAUAUAGUUUUUUCUCCUUCUGUUGUUGCACUUUGUGUGGAAAAACUUUGUGCUGGCAUCUCCGGCCCUAAUCCAUAGCACCCGAGAGGCUUUCCGUCUUCUAGCCCUCUCAAUUGCCGCAAGCCCAAGCACUCUGGUUUUGAGCAUUUUCCUUAGUGCAAAUUCUUCCUGUGUGAGCUGCCUGUUUUCUUGAGCUAUGUCCAGCCUUAGGAUGAUUUCAUUUGCCAUAUGAAAUUGCAUCUUGGCCUUGCUGAAAAGAGAUUUACUCCAGAUCCUUAAAUCCUUUGCAGUUCUCUGCAGUUUCACCUUCAGUCUGAUGUAAGGACGGUCAUGGGAGACUGGCCUGUUCCAUGCGUGCAUCACCGUUUCUUGGAAAUGAGGAAACUUUGGCCAAUGGUUUUCAAACUUGAAUCUUGCAAGUCUUGGUGGGCCAACACAAGGGGAGAGGAGCAGCGGGCAGUGAUCCGAGAAAGACGUGGAUGCUGCAUUCAGCAUAUAUCCAGUGUGCAGAGCCUCCCAAUCUACAUUGCAGAAGAACUUAUCGAUGCUGCAGAAGGUUGGGCUUUCUCUUUCGUUGCUCCAAGUGAAUCUUCUGUUGUGGCAUUUGAUUUCCUUUAAGCUCGUGAAAUCUAGAGCUUUUCUGAACCUUCCCAUAAGCCUCCUGUUGAGAUUUGAGUUGCUCUUGUCUCUAGCUUCAUAUAUCAUGUUGAAAUCUCCAGUGAUCAGCCACGGCUCUCCCGCUGGAGGUGUAAUGCUGGCCAUCUCAAGGAAAAACUCGUCCCUAGUGGCAUCUUCAGUUGGCCCGUACGCCGUUGUCAGCCAGUACUGGACAUUGUUGCUAAGUUCAGUUACUUUUGCCGUGAUGGUGAAUCUGCCAAUGGAGUGAGACUCGAUGCUAACUAUAUCUUUGUUCCAGAAAAUUGCAGCACCACCCCUCGUCCCCAGGGCCGGAAGAACCACACAGCCCUGUAGUAGCUGACCCCCUACUUUGCGCGCAAUUUCUGAAGACCAAACAUCUAUUUUUGUUUCUUGCAGCGUCAGGAUGGCAGCUCUGUGAGCAGUGGUGGUUUCACGAACUGCCUCCCGCUUGGCAGGCUCAUUUAGCCCUCUAACGUUCCAAGACAUAAUGAAGCCAUGGUUUCUACUCAUUUGGACACAAAGAUUUGCUCCGUCGACUAACAUUACUAAACCAAAGAAUACAACACACCACCAUUCGGUCCGGGGGGCGACGGCGGCCACCAGCAGGCCCGAAACCCCGUCGUCGUCUAACUCGCAACAUGAUCCUAGAACUACACAUGAAAGGGAAACCUAGCUCGAACUGGCGAAGGGCCAGCCGUCGACGAAGCCUACAAGCUACAUAAUACAUGGAGGACUACUGGGCCACAUUGGCCGCACCAUCAAGGCCGAGCAUGCCGGCCACGAUCUUCAGAGCUUCAGCAUUCAGACUAGUCAGGCGAGCAAUGGUGGCUAUGUCUUCCUCGGUCAGUGGCUCGUUGAACUUCUUGGUCAGAGCAGCAGCAGCAUCUGGUGUCAUCUUAUCUUUUGGCCCCAUCUUGCCGAGCUCUUUCACCAGCCUCAUCGCCGCCCGCUGCGAGACCGGCACGGAGGAGGCAGCUGAAGCCUGUCAAGCGCUACGCCUUGAAGGGGCAGAAGAAGCUCGUGAUUUAGGCGGGGCGGAGGAGCGGGCAGGCUUUGGGGUGGGGAGGACAUGAGCUUUGGCCAUCUUGAAGAGUUGCUGCACAUCAUCCACAGUGGCUGGCUGGGGCUGUGCUGAAUCGGCGUCUGGGCUUGUCUGGAGCUGCAGAUGGCUGACCUUCUGCGUGACGGCCUCGACUUGGAACUGAACAGCUACAUGAGUGGGCUGGUUGAUGCAGGGCAGGACAUCUGGCAGCAGGGCAAGCAGCAGAUGGUCUUCCUUCAACUUCUGCUCGAUCGGUCCCUCAUUGUCGCUGAAGGAGAGUGGGGAGGCGAGCGCUUCGAUCAUUGCAUUCUCGAACUCCAGUUGCAUGCAGUCUGACCGGGGUGGUGGGGAGAUGGCGCGUCNNNNNNNNNNNNNNNNNNNNNNNNNNNNNNNNNNNNNNNNNNNNNNNNNNNNNNNNNNNNNNNNNNNNNNNNNNNNNNNNNNNNNNNNNNNNNNNNNNNNNNNNNNNNNNNNNNNNNNNNNNNNNNNNNNNNNNNNNNNNNNNNNNNNNNNNNNNNNNNNNNNNNNNNNNNNNNNNNNNNNNNNNNNNNNNNNNNNNNNNNNNNNNNNNNNNNNNNNNNNNNNNNNNNNNNNNNNNNNNNNNNNNNNNNNNNNNNNNNNNNNNNNNNNNNNNNNNCGCAACACUGUCUUCGGGGAAGGAGACAGGGCAGCGCGCUCUACAGAGCGGCCACGGCACCCCUGGAGGCGACGCGAGGCAGGGGUCCUGCUCCUCCUACGCGGCUCCUCCGCAGCCGGGGCCCUGGCGCUGGGCUGCCGACCACGGCCGAGGAAAGCGUCCUUCCAGGACCGGCCACGGUUGCCUUGGUCAUCACCGUCGUGGUCGCGACGCUCGCCGAGGGAGGGGAAGCUGCUGCAGCCGGAGGAGGAAACGCGCGGCACGGAGCGACGGGUCCUGCUCUUCCCGUCCUCCACACCAGCCGCCCAAGAGCCCGGCUCAGAGCGGGGGAGGGGGCGAGUGUCUUCGUCUUUCGAGGAGGGGAGCCCGCUCUGCCCGGAGUGCGAGGAGCGGGGCGAGAGCGGGUUCCAGUCCUCCACGCGGUCCACGUGGAUCAGCAGGUCGUAGCGGUGGACGCCCGGCGGGGGAGGGACGUUGCGAUCCGGCGGGGAGAAGCCGAUGAUCUCGUCGACGCGACCAGCACCUCGCUUGAGCACCCACAGAGCCCGCUUGGUCGGGAUGUGCGCCACAUCCCAGCACCACAGCCAGCACGCGAACGUCUUGGUGUGACCACGCCCAUACGUGCGGCUAUCGAGCCGGUCGAUGCGGCCGAAGUCGCCGAACACGUCGUCUGCCCCCUUCAAGCUCCAGAACUGCAUAGGCAGGUUCUCGACGACGAUGCGGACGUGGAGGGACAGCUUCAGGAUGGCCGCGUGGUCGUCCGGGCUCCAGGCGCGGAUGAAGUACUUGCAGCCGUCCACCUUGAUGAUGCCGCGGCGAACAGCGUUGUCGCGGUGCGCCGGCAGGUCGAAGUGCACCAGGAAGGCCUCGGGGUGGUGGGCGGUGACACGGAGCUGGUGCGCUGAGGUGCGGAACUGCUCUUCGAUGGCCUUCCCCACCGCCAUGGGGCUUGUGGCGUGGGCACGAUCUGCAGCCAUGAGGGUGACCACGUGCUGCCGAAGGAUGUACUCCGUGUGCUCGAGGGCCGGCGUGGCAACCACCAUCUUGUGGCUCUCGCGAGGCCGCCGCGCCGGAUCGACGUGGGAGAAGCCAGCCAUGGACGGAGCUUGGGGAGGAGGGGCCGACGGAGACGGGGGGUGGUCGAAGCAGAGGCGAUCCCGCACCGGCACCCGAGCUGGCGCCGGCUUGGAUCCGGCCGGGGCAGCCCCUCCUGGGGCGCGGGAGCGGCUGGGGCACUCUUUUGCGAAGUGGCCUUGGCGCUCACAGGAGAUGCAUCGAAGCGGGUCGCGGCAAUCUUUGUGCCGGUGGUGCUUGCUCAGGCAUCGGAAGCACUUUCCACGGAAGCGCCUUAAGAAGGCCUCGCGGCCAGGCGAAGGCAUGGAGACGCGCCCGCGGUCUGAGCAAGGAGCCCCGGAGCGCGUACUGUUGCCCGCCGGCUUCUUGCAUGGUCGCCGGAUUUUGCGCGACUGAACUUGGACCCAACCACCCGCCUCCUCCAUAGGGGAGGAAAUGGCAAGGUUUGAUGGCGCAACGACGAUGGAUUUAAGGCGCUGAGAUCCAGAGGGGGGCAGUAGAUCUACCGGUCCGGUGGGAGGGGCGGCGUGGGAGGACUCACCCCGGAGCAGAAGACGCGGCGGAAGACCCAGAUCUGCCAGCCGGCCAGCCAGAGAGAGCCCGCAAGCGUCCGGGGCAAACAACGGACCACCGGGCGGGGGGGUGCAGGAGCCGGACGCAGCGGGCGAGGCCGGGCUGGCGCUCCUACUACAGCUCGGUCUGCGGGUCCUAGCCAUGAAGGCUGGUGGGUGGCCGCCGCGGCCGGAGUGGCACGCGGCACGGGGCGGGGGAGCGGCGAGGUUUCACUACGCGUACUCAAACCUUAGUUCACUUUUUGUGAAAAUGUGUAGUCCCUUGACAUUCUGCAGUACUGGACCUCCAUUCCUUUUGAAAUUUGUGUGCGCAUUCCUACUGAAGAUGCCCAAACUGUUCAAGUUGAAGAACACGACAGAGUUAGAGCUGGAAAUCCUUUCGCUCUGUGUUGUGUUGUUGUCUUGUUUUCCCCACAAUGUCCAGUGACCUGCAGUUUUUUCUUGACCCUGCUGGCAACGAGCUUUUAUUAGCAUCCGAAGACGUUCUGCAACAUCUUCCAUUUGAGGGCGUUUGCUCAUCUCCAUUCUGAGGCACUCAGCUGCUAGAUUUACAAUCUUGUCAAGAACCUUAAUGUUGCUCGACUGUGCUAUAUCAGCAUCGAACAUCUCUCUUGCCUUCUUUCCUUUUUGAACAGCUUGGGAGAAAGUUCCUAUGAGGCCCAUGCUCCCGUUUUCAUAUGCCUUUUUUCUGGUGACUAGUUCUACUAAAACGACCCCAAAACUGUAAACAUCACUCUUCGGAUUGAUGCACCCAUUAUGAGCAUACAACGGAUCCAUGUAACCUAUUCUGCCUAUUAUAUUCAGUGUGUAUUGAGUGCUGUCCUUGGAAAACAUUCUGGAUAUCCCGAAGUCAAAUAAUUUCGCACCAAAGUUAUCAUCUAAAAGGAUGUUACCAGGGGCGAUAUCACCGUGAAUGGUUGGUGGACACAUGGAAGAAUGCAUGUAGCUUAAUGCCUCUGCACUGUCUAGAGCAAUACCCAACCUUUGAUCUAAAGAAAUGGGAUAGUCUUUCCAAUCAAGAACUUCUCUGAGGCUUCCUCCGGAGAUGUACUCGGUGAUCAUCAUUAAAGCGUUUUCCUCUGAACAGUAGCCCAAGAGCCUAACAACGUUCUUGUGGUUGAUUUGGCAAUGUAUGAUUAUUUCCUUAGCAAAAUGUUCUUUCAUAUCUGGGAGUGGAAUCUUGACUGCAACGGAACUACCAUCUUCAAGAACACCACGGUAAACUUCUGCGAAGCCACUUUUGCCAAUGAGAGUGCUAUAGUUGUCAGUGAUCCUUCUAAUCUCAGCCUCUGUGAACUUGUUUAAACCAUCAAUGUUGAAUGAUCUCCAGUUUACCUUUUCAUCCUCUUGGAUAAGGUCUGCAGGCUUAACCUUCUUGUGACUCUAACAAAGAAGAUUAUACUGUUAUAUUAUAGGGAGAUCAAGAAAAGUGAAAGAAAAGUUUAAUUUACAAAAGGUCUCCAACACGAUGUUAUCUGUUGCACGUGACGUCUAAUAAGUAAACUUCUUUCUUGAGACCGUUCAGUAAACUAACCUGCUCAACUGAUGAACUGCUGAUACCAAUUUUGUCUGAAUAGUCCACAAUUCCUGUUUUACCAAGCCUGUCGAUUAUGUCCCCUGUAUUUGGUCUCUUCUUCGGGUCCAAGUCCAAACAUUCUGUCCCUAUUUUAGUGCAUACCCUUACUUGUUCCAACUGUGUAUCUCCCUCUAAUGCCUCCAGUCGAUCCAUCCAACUUGCAACUACCUGAUUCAUCCAACUUGCAACUACCUACACAGUUGCAAUCAUGAGUUAAUUAGUAUUUAAUAACUAACACCGUGCCCCAUACAAUAGCAUGGGGAACAACUUUUUUGGGUUUCACGUACAUACUCCCUCCGUCCGGUAAAAAGUGUAUGUUUGGCUUUAAAAUUUGUUCACAAAAGAGUGUACAUCUAUCUUCCCAAUGCACAUUAAAAUAGAAAAGAAUAUUUCUCUCUCAUCACACGGUAAUCUAGACCAAUAGCAUUCUACACAUGGUUUCCUUAAUUUUUACAUGCACUUAGGUCAUUGGGGGUAGGAUAAUUAAAGAGGAGAGAGAUGGUGGCUUGCACCUUUCCAAUGUUUUUUUUACUCCAAUCCAUAAUUUGUCCUAACAUUUCUGUAUGUACACUUUUCACUGGACGGAGGGAGUAUGUAUUUACAUAUUGUUUGCAAGAAGGCCAUAUUAGCAGCCAAAUGAGUCAAUGUAUGUAAUUUGAGAUCGCAACACAUAAUUAAAGGUCAGAUCAAAAGUGAUACAAUUAAUGUUUUGUUAGUUACAAAUAAUUAAUUAUCUCACUUUUGGUCUUACAUACCUAUACAACAUCAACGCUCCAACUUUCAGCUGGGUUAUUUUUUCAAUUAUUUGUGAUGAAAAAAGGGUCAUCUGUGAUGCUGCCGGACAAAAUUAUAUGAUGAAUAUUUCGUGUCAUGGUAGAUGAAACUAUGAUAAGGGGAAAAUUUCUCGAUGUACUUUUGCGAGUCAUGUUACAUGAAGAAAAUUUUGAUGCAAAAAUUUCGUCACAAAAUAUAUCUAGUGAUGCGAAGACUUUUUUCGUGAUGAUUCAGUAUGCAUAGUUUCUUGUAGUGGGUGACUAGAAAACGAGAUUAAUUUACUUCCACCAGAAAAUAUGCAUACCUAUAGUGCUAUAAGAUGGAGUCCUAGACUAGGGGGCACUCAUCACGUCGUCUCCCGACCAGGUGGGUCUAGCCGAGGACUCCAUGGCGGUUCACUAAUGGCCACUUCGGGCAGCCCAUGAUGCAUAGAAGGAAGAUUUCACAAGACUUGAUGCACAAGAAGAGGACUCUUCUAAACCCUAGACCUUCAGUGCAUUAUAUAGACCGAGGCCAGGCAAGUCAGUAGAGGAUUACAACGUAGAUCAACAAUCUCACGGUAGAUACAUGUACUCUAUACUAUACCUCAUAUCUAUACAAUCAAAAACAUGACGUAGGGUAUAUCAUCUCUUCGAGAGAGUCUGAAUCUGGGUAAAAUCCUGUGUCCAUGUUACCAUCGCUCUAAGAUGCCUAGCUUAGGACCCGUACCUCGAGAUAUGCCGGAUUUAGCACCGAUACUAUAGUACUUAUAAGAAGAACGAUUUUUGUGAAAACCAACUAAUGUUAAUCGUCCAGAAUAUCAAAUCCGAUGGGGGCACGAAAGAAAACCUGGAACCUUAGCUUCUAAUGACUUCACUAAAGGGUUAAUCACAUACUUUUUAUCCUAUUUAUGUAUUCUAAGAAAAAUGUCGUGUUAGUUUAUUUAUUUAGCAAGGUGGAGUUAAUAUUGUGAAUGUGCUAAGUUCAUAAUAAACCAAAUAAAAUGCAAGGAUAAUUUUUGAAUUGGUGAAAGUACAUUUUGGGUGGAGUAGUCAAUAUAUUAAAACUGUGCAUCACAUGUAUAGUUGUAUACGUUUGGUAGUAGUAGGAAAUCAAAAUCACAUAGCUUGGAACAAUGAAUAUGAGUAUUUAAAGUAAAAUGUCAAAAUGUUGUUAUCUCAAGCAUCUUAAGAAUGUACAUUUUCAAGGAAGUGUACACGUGCAAUACACAAUCCAAGAGAAUGUACCAACAUAUUUAAAAGAUCACAUGUAAAUUGAAUUUAACUUCGUAAAAGGUGUUUCUUCUCUCACUAACCACACAAAUGAUUUUACAAGCAUGAGAUUAAGAUAUAAUUAUAGCAAACUUAAAUCGUGAGUGGUUGCUGAAAGUAUGUAUCGAUGGGUCGGAUCAAAAUGCCCUACCACCUUGUAUUUGUAUUAGUGGUAAUGGAGGAGAGAUAUUUGCUAAACUAGAGUGUAAAACAUUGAUUUAACAAUAUUUCCUUCGACUAACUUGGAGCAUGGCAUAACUUGUUGUUACCUUCUCAUCUUCGGGAUAACUCUUCUCUCCUAUCAGUAUCUCCAUCAUUAUGACGCCUAGGCUAAAUAUAUCUAACUUGUAUGUGAUUUGUCCUCUCAGGAGUUCUGGAGAAAAAUGUCCUCUGUUGCAAGAUUUAUGAAGUCUGAUUGAUGAAUGUGCAAAUAAAUUGUAUAAUAAUUUUUGCCACCAAUGAGAACAAUAACUUUUAAGAGGAUUGCUUACCGUGAUAGAAAUAUUUGUUCACUGAAUGCACUUGUUUGCCCUUCGUCGAAACACCGUGAUAGACCAAAAUCAGUAAUUUUAGGUACCAUGUGAUCAUCUAAAAGUAUAUUAGCGGGCUUGAGGUCCAAAUGAAGAAUGCACUUCUGAUGAAGAUAAUGUAGCCCCUCACAUAUUCCCCUGAUUAUUCGAUAGUGUUUUCUCCAUUCAAGUCCAGUAGAUACAUCUGAAGAGGAGGUAGCAGAUUUUUAAAAUAGUCAUAUUUAUUUUUUAUUGAUAUUGAUAUCGUAAUGUAAAUCUAGGAAUGCAAAGUACAUAACAUGCUAAGUAGUCAAAUAACCUACAAUAGAGUAAAUAAACGUUGACAGAAAUACAAGUUGAGCAUCGAUCCUACCGGUAAUAUGCUUAUCAAGACUCCCGUUGGGCACAUGCUCAGAGCAAAGCAGCCAGUUUCGUCGAUCUGACAUGACAAGCUUUCCCUCGUAGUCUUCCAUUUCCCCUUGUGUCUCAGCGCAAUACCCCAAGAAACGUACUAUGUUCUCAUGCUUAGCCUUCAUCAAGCAUUUAACCUCUUGGUGGAAUUUAUUCUCGCGGAUAUUGUAUGUGUUGGAUAGCUUCUUGACAGCGACCAUGUAUUUUCCAACCAUCCCCUGUGGUGACAAUAUGCAUUGUCAGCUUCGUGUGUGUCUGGCCCUGCACAUACCAAAAUGCUAUUUACCUUAUAAACCACCGCAAACCCUCCGAAGCCGAUUUGGUUAUGAGGAGAGAAACGAUUCGUGAUGUCCUCCAAUAGUGAUAAUGGCGGUUUCACGGGCUCUGCAUUUUUAUCAACCAGCAAGCGCUCCAGGAUGGCGUGUUUACUGUUGCCUUCGGGAUCCAUUCGCAAUCUCCUGAAUCGAGAGCAAUGCCGUUAUUUAGGCAUAUAGUACAUCUUAGUAUAUUAUUGACGCCGACUGUUGAGGAAAUUAAACUGCGUGUGAACAGCAUGCACCAUGUAAUUGUACUUUGUCAUUCCGAUGACCAAACACCCUUAAAUGGCAGUAUUGCUCUGCUUGAAGACUGAAAGUUUCAGUCCAACUUCACUAGUUAUUGUAUUUCAGCAAAAAUGGCAGACUUACAAAUCUGCGGCGCCGAGAUGAAUGAGCCGGACAGUUUACCGUUGACCAAGAGACUAGCUGAUUACCGUGGGCUAAGAACACCGGCAGAUCAGAUCUAGCGCAUCCCGCGCAACAGAGAGGGAGGGAGGGAGGGAGGGAGANNNNNNNNNNNNNNNNNNNNNNNNNNNNNNNNNNNNNNNNNNNNNNNNNNNNNNNNNNNNNNNNNNNNNNNNNNNNNNNNNNNNNNNNNNNNNNNNNNNNNNNNNNNNNNNNNNNNNNNNNNNNNNNNNNNNNNNNNNNNNNNNNNNNNNNNNNNNNNNNNNNNNNNNNNNNNNNNNNNNNNNNNNNNNNNNNNNNNNNNNNNNNNNNNNNNNNNNNNNNNNNNNNNNNNNNNNNNNNNNNNNNNNNNNNNNNNNNNNNNNNNNNNNNNNNNNNNNNNNNNNNNNNNNNNNNNNNNNNNAGAGAGAGAGAGAGAGAGAGAGAGAGAGAGAGAGAGAGAGAGAGCGAGCGGCGAGAUCGAUGUAGCCAUGGAAACUGAUUAAGGAAUAGCUACCUCGGCAAGCAAGUUGAUUGCCCGAUCUUCGCCGGCGCAAGAGCGGCCGCCGUCGACCGUCAUUCUCAACGCCCAGCUAAUAAUUAAUCAUGGGACCAAAUAGUAAGAGUAAUACAUCAUACUGGAGGAGCAUACCUUGGCUAGACGACGGGGCGGCCAAUCAAGCAAUCCUUGAGAUGAUUAGACGACCGAGCUUGUAACUGCGGCUGCUCUCCCUUCCUCCGGUUCGACGACCUUCCUUCCCCAGCAACGCCUCCAUGCUCCAGCUAAUUAGACUAAUUCGUACUGCACUACUGCUACAUGUAUUUUCUAUGUUCUACUUGCAUCUACUCCCUCUAGAUACAACCAUUUAUAGGACAAGUUGUUAGACUUAAUCCAGUAGGAUAGAUUGGAUCUUAUGCCUAGAAUUCAGAUCACCUAAUUGCAUAUGAACAGAGAGGGGUUGAGUUCUUACCACCAAUGGAAGAAGCCAUUGGUGUAGGCGAUGCGAAGUCCCGUGCCUGCUCGAUGCAGGCGUGAUGCAGGCUUGGGGUAGACGUUCGUAGCGGGUAGCGGCGUCCUCCCUGGCGCCACCGACACUGCCCUGGAACAGGGGCAGAGGUAGGAGAUGAUCUUCCCGUCGUGCAGCACUCUCCUAGAUCGGUUAGGGUUUAGGGAUGUGGGGAGCAGGAGUAAACCGUACGAGAAUUGGUCUAGCGUAGGUGCCGGCUGCUCCCCCAUCUUUUUAUGUGCGCUGGCGACAGGGGACCAAAACCAUAGUUGGUUAGGGUGCCCCCGAUCAGGGCGCGUAAGUUGAAAUCGAGGGGUAAGAACGUUGGUUCGUGGCCUCCCUGUUUCUCUCUUUAAUGUAACUUUAUUUCUGGUCUUUUAUUUUCGUUUUGGCCCAUUGGGCCUCUAGAUCAAUACCAACAUUCUCCCCCUUGAUCGUUAGGCUCAAUGACUUUUGUCCAUUCUCCAUAGGAAUAAUAUACCAGAGUAAAGUGUUACAACAGCCGAUGAAAAGCCAUUGAACCUCAAUAUUCAUAACACACAUCCUAUUUCAAAAAGGAAACAUUUUACUUAUUGGGAGUGGUUUAUAUUAGCGGUCCCAUAAUUCCAGAAUCAAGAGGCUUCCAAUAAUCCCAUGCCGGCUACACACUACUAGAAAAAGGGCUACUAAUGGCGCACCAGUUUUGCCUAUUAAUGGCGCAUCACUGGUGCGCCAUUAGUAUCACGCCACUAGUAUUUUUUACUAAUGGCGCACCACUGGUGCGCCAUUAGUAUCUGGUAUACUAAUGGCGCACCAUUUGUGCGCCAUUAGUAUAGGCCACGGUGCGCCAUUAGUAUAGGCCACGGUGCGCCAUUAGUAUUUUUGAAUUUUGAAGGCGGGAAAAUAGUAGUGGCGCACCGUCUAACCCCCACCGUGCGCCAUUGCUAUUUUUGAAUUUUGAAUUUGGAUCUGGAUCGUGAUUUUUUUGCCCUUGCUCGUUUUUUUGCUCGUUUUUUGGCACGAUAUUAUUUCAAAUUUUGUUCCUGUUUUUGGAUCUUGUACGUUCUUUUGCCGUGUUCUUUUGCUGGAGAGGAGUUCCCCGGAGAGGAGGAGGAGGAGGUCACCGGAGAGGCGCUCGCCUACAUCGCCAGAGAGGAGGAGGAGGAGGUCGCCGGAGAGGAGUUCACCGAAGCAUCAGAGAGGAGGAAGGAGAAACCAUGAGGGAAUGGGAGGAGAGGAGGGAGGAGGAGCUCACCGGAGAGGAGGGAGGAGAAACCGUGAGGGGAGGGGAGGGGAGGAGAGGAGAGGAGGGAGGAGGAGGUCCCCGGAGAGGAGGAGGUCGCCGGAAAGGAGGAGGAGGUCGCCGGAGAGGAGGAGGGUAGUAUGGUGGAGGAGAGAAGGGAAGAUGGAGUGGAGGAGAGGAGGAGAUGGAGUCGAGGAGAGGAGGAGAUGGAGUGGAGGAGAGGUGGAGUGGAGAAGGUGCGCCCAGCCAUAUAUACGACAUAGUAAUGGCGCACCGUGGGCAGGUGCGCCAUUACUAACUUUUUUUUUAUUUUUUUGAUUUAUUUUGAAUUUUGAAGGCGGAAAGAUACUAAUGGCGCACCAUGGCAGGUGCGCCAUUAAUAAUUUUAUUUUUAUUUUUUGACUUAUUUUGAAUUUUGAAGGCGGGAAGAUACUAAUGGCGCACCAUGGGCAGGUGCACCAUUAGUAAGUUUGAAUUUUUUUGCCUCUCCAGCUCUUAAAAGCCCCGUAUCUUUUUUUCUGUUAGGUUUUUGAGGAUUUUGAAAAUGUUUAACAAAUUUCCCCGGUUAAAUUCGGAUGUAACUUUUCGAGUAGAUGAUUUUUCAUAUAAAAAACUUUUUCAUCCGAGUUCGUACGCAAAAGUUAUGCCCACUUUUACAAAUUCUCGAGAGAUUUUGCAAAAAAGUCGAAAAUUUAUGUUUGUAAAUUUUGCUAACAACUAGACCACAUAUCACAUGGGAAUCUUAUUUUCUUUUAUUUUUUUGACAUUUCUAUCAUUUUCUUUUAUUUUUUUAGAAACUGAAAAGGCAGUUAGGGGGAGUGCAUUCGGGCGAAUGUUUGGGCCAAGUUACUAAUGGCGCACCGUGGCAUGAUACGCCAUUACUAGUUCAACUAGUAAUGUGAACUAUUAAUGGCGCACCACUCCCAUGGUGCGCCAUUAGUAGUUUUGAAUUUUUUUUAAUUUUUUUACUAAUGGCGCAUCGUGGAUGUGGUGCGCCAUUACUACUAGUAAUGGCGCACCACUCCCACGGUGCGCCAUUAGUAGUUUUGAAUUUUUUUUACUAAUGGCGCACCGUGGACGUGGUGCGCCAUUAGUAUUUGCACACUAAUGACACACCAACACAUGGCGCGCCAUUAGUAUAUAGUAAUGGCGCACCACAUGUCUGGUGCGUCAUUAGUGUCAAUUCCAUCUAUAGCCCUUUUCCUAGUAGUGACAUGCUCAUGAAAUAUAUUGGGUGGUAAGCCUUUAGUAAGCGGAUCCGCAAGCAUAUGUGUCGUACUGAUAUGCUUAAUAUUAAUAGUUUGAUCCUGGAUUCCAUGUUGAACAACAUGGUACUUUAGGUCAAUGUGCCUGGCAGCAGCACUUGACUUGUUGUUAUUCGCAUAGAAAAUUGCGGGUUCAUUAUCGCAGUACAAUGUCAGUGGUUUGGAAAUGCUGUCAACCACUUUAAGUCCGGGAAGGAAAUUCUUUAGGAAUACAGCCUGCCCGGUGGCCUCAAAACAUGCUAGAUAUUCUGCCAUCAUCGUAGAUGAGGCAACUAUCUUUUGCUUGGAGCUUUUUCACGAUAUUGCUCCUCCAGCGAGUGUGAAUAUAUAACCUGACGUGGAUUUCAUACUAUCCACACACCCGGCAAGAUCAGAGUCUGAAUAACCAAUAACUUCCAGGUUAUCGGACUUUCUAUAUGUAAGCAUGAAAUUUUUAGUAUCUUGCAUAUAACGCAAGACUUUUUUUGCGGCCUUCCAGUGGUCCGGUCCUGGAUUAGAUUGAAAUCUGCCAAGCAUCCCGAUUACAAAAGCUAAGUCAGGGCGUGUACAUACUUGAGCAUACAUGAUGCUUCCGACAGCUGAAGCAUAAGGAACCGACUUCAUCUGAUCAGUUUCAUUUUGGUUCCUCGGACAUUGGAAUGUCCCAAACUUAUCGCCCUUAACUAUGGGGACAGGUGAGGAAGAGCACUUAUGCAUAUUGAAUUCCUUUAGUACUCUCUCAAAGUAUGCCUUUUGCGAUAGUCCUAAUGUUCCUUUGGACCUAUCUCGAUGAAUCUCGAUGCCAAGGACAUACGAGGCUUCACCGAGAUCCUUCAUGUCAAAUUUUAAGGACAGAAAUCUCUUGGUCUCAUGCAACAUAUCUUUAUCGCCGCAAGCCAAUAGAAUAUCAUCCACAUAUAGGACUAAAAAUGUGAACCUACUGCCUUUAAAUUUAACAUAUAUGCAGUUGUCCACUUCAUUCUCUUUAAAACCAAAAGUUCUAAUAAUCUCAUCGAACUUGCCUUGAAGCUUGCCUCAAGCCAUAUAUGGAUUUCUUUAAACGACAUGCCAUGUGUUCUUUUCCUUCCACGACAAAACCUUCAGGUUGAGUCAUGCAAACUUCUUCUUCUAAGUCACCAUUCAGAAAUGCCGUCUUGACAUCCAUUUGAUGCAGCUCCAAAUCAUAAUGAGCUACAAGUGCCAUCACAAUUCUGAAAGAAUCUUUGGAUGACACAGGCGAGAAGGUCUCCUUAUAAUCGAUUCCUUCUCUCUGCGUAAAACCCUUUGCUACAAGUCUCGCUUUGAACCUUUCGACGUUCCCUUUGGAAUCAUAUUUGGUUUUGUAGACCCACUUGCAGCCUACCCUUUUGGCUCCAUCAGGAAUUUCUACUAAGUCCCAAACAUCAUUCGAGCUCAUAGAUUUCAAUUCGUCUUCCAUGGCUACCAACCAUUUGGACGAGUCUUCACUUUUAGUGGCUUCUUUAUAUGAGGUCGGAUCUUGUGCCUUCCCUAUGUCAUUUUCAUCCUCACACAUGAAAGUGACACAAUCGCUAGAGAUGGCCUUUUUCUUUUCCCGUUGUGAUCUUCUCGCAGGCUCAUUAGUAUGUGCAUUUUCUCUUGCCCGAGAAGGUUGAGGAUUAACAUUGGGUUGAGGCUCAUCAUUUGGCUGAGGAUCCUCAUCAGGCUGAGGAUCUUCAUUAUGCUGAGGCUCCUCGUCGGGUUGAGGAUCCACUUCAGGUUCGGGAUCACCAGUAGGUGUCUCGUGCAUAUUAGGCAUAGGGAUAAAGUUCUGUUGGAUAGUCGGGGAUGGAACGUACACCCGCUUCUCCUCAAGAUCAAUCGCCCUAACCUCAGUGACUUGGCUUUAUAAAUCUUAAAUUUGUCCAAAGCUUCGGAUCGAUCACAUAUGGGGUAAAUGUAGCCAUAGCGAGAGAAAUCAUCUGUGAAGGUAAUGAAAGAAUCAAAACCAUCCAUAGACUUUACAUUAAAAGGUCCGCAUAUGUCAGUAUGAAUAAGUUCAAGGACCGAUGUGGCUCUUACUGCUCCUUUCUUAAUUGUUUUCACAUAUUUUUCCUUAAUACAGUCAAUACAAUUGCCCGCAUCAGAGAAAUCUAGCGGAUGAAGUAUUUCUUCUUUAAUCAAUCGUUCCAUUCUCCCCCUCGAAAUGUGGCCCAAGCGACGAUGCCACAAUUUGGAAGAAGGAUUGAUACUUCUCCCAUUCUCUUUAUGAUUGCGUUCAUUCAUAUUCAUCUCGCAGAGAUUCACACACAUAGGAUAACCGGAAAGAUUUAACAUAUAAAGUUUGCCUCGUCUGACGGCGAGACCAACAUCCUUAUUCCAAUACUUUAAAAAACAUUGUUUCUUCCCAAAGGUACAAUGAAAACCAAAAUCAUCUAGACAGGAAACUGAAAUCAAAUUCCUACUCAAAGUAGGCACAUAAAGAACGUCCUUGAGCUGAAGUAGGAAAUCAGUGUGCAACUUCAAGGUGAGGGAGCCCAGGCUUCAACUUCAGCCUCCUUCCCAUUCGCGACAUUAAGUCUUCUUGUACCCCUUAGGGUGUGGCUUAUAUGAAAUCCCUGCAAAGAAUUCGCGACAUGAACACUCGCACCUGAGUCAAUCCACCAUGUAGAUUCAGAAAAAUCAACAUAUAGAGAUUCAUCUACAAGAGUGAUCUCAUCCUUACCCUUUUUAUUCAGCCACUUAAGAAAACCUGGACAGUCCGCCUUGACAUAAUUUGGCUGCUUGCAAAAAUUGCAAAGUCUUUCUCCAGCGGCAUUUGUAAGAUUAACUGAAGUAGCCGCUGAAGGUGCGGGACGUGAACAACUUGCCUCGUUGCAUUGCUUAGGCUUUGGAGGAUUCUUUUUGGAAUACUGCUUUUUGUUGGGCACAUUAUUGUUAUGAGCAUGGUUCUCAUGCUUCCUCUUUGCAGAGUUAACAUGGAGAGCUUGAUCUUUCUGCUCACUCUUCAUUCUCUCUUCCUCUUGAACGCAAUGUGCAAUGAGUUCAGAUAGUUUCCAUUUGAUUUCAAGAGAAUUAUAGUUUAUCUUGAAUGGAUUGAACUGUGAGGGUAGUGACCUAAAAACUAGGAGCACAAGAAGCUCUUCGCUCAAGUCACACUUCAUGGUUUUAAGCUUUGCCGCGGCAUUGCUCAUGCUCAAAAUAUGCUCCCUCACAUUUUCAUUUCCUUCAUAUUUUGCAAGCUGCUUGUGUAAAAGCUCAUCUGCAUACAUUUUCUCUGAGCCUUUAAAUUGUUCUUCCACCGAUUUCAAAUAUUCGGCAGCACUUUCAUUAGGGGGAAUAGCCCCUUUAAUCUUAGUGGAGAUGGAGAAGUUCAUAAUUAGGAGUGCCAUUCUAUUGGACCUCUCCCACUUCUCAACUUUAGUGUCGUAGGCUUUCUUAAGCUCAGCAUACCCAGUGGCAUCCUUUUUAGGUUCCACUGGUUUACUUUCCAUUAGUGCAAGGUCAACCUCAUGCCAACCUCAUGCCAACCCAAGUUUGGAAGUUGUUUCCCGUGAGUGGUUCGAUAUUCUCAAGACCACGAGGACCGGAAGCUGUCAUGAUUUCAAAAUAUCAUAAGCAAAGGAAAAGAACAUCAUAAUUGAAUUAAAUUGCACAAAAAUUAACCUACAUUGGUUUGAUCAAUUAACUCCAAAUUAUAUCACCGUUGGGCAGAAAAAAUAAGGAAUUAACAAAGUGAUUCAAAAAAGUAAAACAACGUUGGUCUGUAUUACAAAAAUGAUCACAUUAAUCUCAUGUGUAAUAUAAAUUUUCCAACAUUAAUAAUUCAUCAUUCAUUGAUGUUACCAUGAGAUGAACAUAAAUAUGCCAUAAAAUGACACAAACAUUAAUCCAUAAAAGUUUUCUAAAUAAAAUUUCUCGUUGGUUCCAUUUCAUUCAGAAAACUAAAACAUAAUUUUCAGCAUCAUUUUUUUCUAGCAAUUUUUUAUUUAUUUAUAACAGUGCAGAACAUUUUGAGGAAAAUCAUAAUACAUAAAAUGCACUGAAUAAACAACAACAAAAAUGCACAGAAACUUUAAUUUUAGCCCAAAACCCACGACAGCUCUUUAAAUUCUAGCCCAGCGAACAAAAAAACAUAAAAAAACACUUUUUCUGCGGGCUAAGACAACUUGGGCUGAAGCCCAGCCGCGAAAGCGGCCCUGCCCGGAGCAGCGCAUCGGUUUCGUUCGUCGGAUCGAGCCGACGGCCCCGAUCGCACCGGAGCGGGGCAAAACUGGUGCCGGGUCAAACCCUAUCCCCAUUUCCCCCUGGCUCCUCCCGAUCCACUCGCUCACUCCAGAGGAGUGGCGGCCGCGCGGCGGCUCGAAGCUCGCCAGCCCAUGGAGGCGCGGUGGCUGCCCUCGCCAGAGCAGCGUGCAAUGGACCGAGUCCCGCGCGCUCCUCCGGCGAGCGUGGCUCCGGCGUUGCGCACACGGCGCCUGUGCGGCGGGAGGGUCAUUUCGCCGGCUGCUGCCGGCGCAGGCGUUCGACGGCGAUGGCGGCGUGCAAGGCGCGGAGGCCAGGCGACGCGCGCGUGCGUGAGCGCAGCAGCGGCGGCUGCUGCUUCAUUCCGCGCGCCACCAUGAAGGGCGGCGGCGUGCCGGCCAUGGCGUGUGCUUACGGCGGCGGCCGUGCGGACCCCGAAGGCCGGCGUCAUCUGGGUGAGCCCGUCACCUUUUCUCUUAAUUUCAACAUUUUAACUCUGAUUUUGGGGAUUCGAAAUGGGGAAAAAGUUCUAGGGCUAGGGUUUCUCAUAAUUAGGGGAAAAAACGAGUGUUUCAUCUGAUUCCCUCCUAUAUUCUUAACAUGAAACAAAACCAGUGCUAAUUAACCGAACUUGAUGCGGAAGCGUGACACAGGUAAACUGACAUAACUUGUUGAUAAUCAUAAAUGAACUAGCACUGAUCCAGUAGCAGAUUAGUCAUUUAAACAGAAACCUCUUAACCCUAGGACUUGACUUAACAGAGGGCUAACCUUAAUCAUGAUCUAUUAUCCUUAACCUUAAUCAUUAGGUCGUAAUCACGAUCAUAUACUUGAACAUAUCAUCUUAGGGAUCUAAUCUAGGCUUAACCAUGCUCAAGAUACCAUUGUUAGACUUACUCCAGUAGGAUAGAUUGGAUCUUAUGCCUAGAAUUCAGAUCACCUAAUUGCAUAUGAACAGAGAGGGGUUGAGUUCUUACCACCAAUGGAAGAAGCCAUUGGUGUAGGCGAUGCGAAAUCCCGUGCCUGCUCGAUGCAGGCGUGAUGCAGGCUUGGGGUAGACGUUCGCAGCGGGUAGCGGCGUCCCUCCGGGCGCCACCGGCACUGCCCUGGAACAAGGGCAGAGGUAGGAGAUGAUCUUCCCGUCGUGCAGCGCUCCCCCAGAUCGGUUAGGGCCGGUUUAGGGAUGUGGGGAGCAGGAGUAAACCGUAUGAGAACUGGUCUAGCGUAGGUGCCGGCUGCUCCCCCAUCUUUUUAUGUGCGCUGGCAACAGGGGACCAAAACCAUAGUUGGUUAGGGUGCCCCCGAUCAGGGCGCGUAAGUUGAGAUCGAGGGGUACGAACAUUGGUUCGUGGCCUCCCUGUUUCUCUCUUUAACGUAACUUUAUUUCUGGUCUUUUAUUUUCGUUUUGGCCCAUUGGGCCUCUAGAUCAAUACCAACACAAGUAUUUCCGAACAGAGGGAGUAGUAUAAUACUCUUGCCAGUGGCGCGAGCCUAGUUUAAUGACCCAUAAUAAUUGAGAAACUAAACACGUGGUAUGCUGGGGCGGUGGGUGUAAUCCUUAUAUAUAACUAGAUGACACCCCACACGUUUCAAGAUCUCAUGGCAAAAUAUCAUAACAGAGCUCGUCUGAGAAAAACAAUAACAUGAUCUCUCGGCUUAUCGUAACAAUUCUACAACACUCCACAAAUUUCGGAUCAGAUCUUGCAGUGACAUGGAAGAAAAAGUGAAAAACCAAAAUCUCAUCUAUUUUCUCACCUUUUCUUUACAGUUGGCGCAACUCCUCACCAUUGAAUCCGACAAUGUGUAGGUCGCCGUAGCUCCUCCCCAUAAAAUCCUGCGGUUGUGGGAGUUAGAGAAGUUAGAUGAUGGGUCGUUACCAAGGAGCAGCAAAGAGGUGAACAUUUGUGUGGAGCUCGGUCGCGGACCAUAUGAAAUGUUGUAGUGGCACAUGUCAUCACAGCUCCUCGCUGUUGAAUCCAGCGCUGGCAGGGCUUGGUGAAGGUUGGAUCCAGCGUCGCCGCCAUGAUAGAGGAGAGGUGAAGGUAACUGCACAACAGAUAUGGCUCAGAUAUGGCUGGGGAAAGGGACAUGUGAGAGAAAUAAAAGAUGGAGAGAGCAACCGAAUCGUCAGAGAAGAUUAGACUUGAACCUUGGUGGGCUAGCGAUGCCAUUGUCUUUCUAACCAUCCUACCACAUGUUGGUUCGCUCCCGUCUUCCCUUUUCUACGGACAAACAAAACCUGAAAAAGCAGGUGGACGAGUUGCUUCACAUCUUGUGUGGUCAAUGUAAGAUAACUUGCUUUGUUAAUAGAGGAAAUCCUAAACAAAAAUCAUGUGAGGUGUAUUCUAUUUAGAAGCCUUUCCACGGAAAAAUAGUAUAUAAAAGAUUAAAAGUUGAAUGCAAGGUCAGAAUUUGGCUGGGAUGCACACAUGGUAAGGACACUAGCUAUGCUUAUUGUGACAUUAGCAAUUCAUAUCCUAGUGGAAGCAAGAUUAAUAAAAAUGGAGCAUUCUUCGUCAUUUACAUUGUUGUUAUAAUAAGUCAUAAAUUGUUGUGUUCUGUAAACAUGUUCUACGGUCAUCUUAUUUCUAGAUAAUGUCAAAGUCAUAAACAACUAUGUCUAGAACAUUGUGUAAACAUGACGACAAUUUUUAUUCAAAAAAAUACAUGGUGAAUAUUUUUAAUACGUGAUGCUAUUUUUUUAAACAUGGUGAACUUUUUAUUAAUAUUGUGCACACUUUUUAAUUAUGCGAUGAAAACUUUUAAAAACAUACAUGCUACUUUAUUUUUAAAUACAAAGAUGAACUUUUAAAAUAUGUGAUGAACUAUUUUGAAUCCACAAAGAAGUUUUCUAAAAUACAGGACGAACAUAUUUCAAUUCAUGACGAACAUGUUUUGCACAAAUGAUGAGCAUUUUCUAAAAAAAGUUUCACCUAGCUACAAAAAAGUUCGUCCACUUCAAAAAAUGAUCCCAAAUAUAAAAACAUUAUUUAUAUAUUUUCAUCACUUUCAUAAUGAAAGAUUCGUUCUUUUAUAUAAAAAACCAUAGAUAAAGCCUCAGUGACCUAUAACGAAUAGAGAGAAAAAGUCACUAAACCCACAUGCGUGCGUUUUUUGUUGACUAAGCGUCAAUUAGGGGGCACGCCUAUGUCUCGCUUGACAUAAGACGUAGGGCAGCCUCGCCUGAAGGCGACCGCGAGAUGGGUGGCCCAGGCAUGCACGAGGCCACAGCCUCCUUUUUUUCAUUUGUCUGUUCUUUACUUUUUUAUACUUCAAAAUAUUCUAAAUAUAUAUACUAAAAAAGACUUUAGAUAAAACAAUGAAAAAAUGUUAAUCAAGCAUUUAAAAAUAUAUAAUGUGUAUAGAACAAAUGUUUCUCAUGUAUACGAAAAAUAUGUAGAAACAAUAUACAAUGUGUAUUACAAAGUUGAUAAUGUAUUUAAUAAAUUCCAAUCGAGCAUUUAAAAUAAGUGUUAAUCAAGUAUUUUAAAAAAUCUUAAUCUAGAAUUUCAAAAAUAUUAAAUGUGUAUAGAAAGUAUGCUACCAACGAAAAAAAUAUAAAAUAUGUAUGAAAAAGCAGAUCACAUAUUUAAAAAAUGUUAAUCAAGCAUUUCGAAAAAUUAAUCAAGUAUUUGAAAAAUCUUACUGAAGUAUUUGAAUAUGUUAAAAGUGUAUAGAAAAAAUAUUUCCCAUGUAUUAAAAAACUAUACAAUUUGCAUGAAAAUAAUGUUUGUCAUCUUAUUUAAAAAAUGUUAAAGGUGUAUAAAAACAUAGAUUAUGUAUUUUAAAACUGCUAAAAAUAAUUAAAAUCAUUGAUCAUAUGUUUAAAAUUUUGUUAAUGGCAAUAUUCAUUUUUUCACGCACAAUGUGCAUUUUUUAUAUAAAUCAGAAACACUUUUAUAUACAUUUUUAACUUUUUUAAAAUACAAAAUGAACUUUUGUUAAAAUAUAUGUUUCCUGGUGUCUACUUUUAUUUAAUGUAUGUUAUACAAUUUUUUUUCUAUACAUCAUGAACAUUUUUUAUUCACGUUUCACAUUUUGAAAAUACAUGAUCAACCUUUUUUUAUUCACGUUUAACAUUUUAAAAAUACAUUUUUUCGGUUUUCAUCUUGUCCUUUUUCUUUGGUUUCUUUUCGGUUUUCCAUUCCUUUUCAUUUUGUUUUUCCAUUCAAUUCUUUACAAGGAAGCUCAAGCUUUGNNNNNNNNNNNNNNNNNNNNNNNNNNNNNNNNNNNNNNNNNNNNNNNNNNNNNNNNNNNNNNNNNNNNNNNNNNNNNNNNNNNNNNNNNNNNNNNNNNNNNNNNNNNNNNNNNNNNNNNNNNNNNNNNNNNNNNNNNNNNNNNNNNNNNNNNNNNNNNNNNNNNNNNNNNNNNNNNNNNNNNNNNNNNNNNNNNNNNNNNNNNNNNNNNNNNNNNNNNNNNNNNNNNNNNNNNNNNNNNNNNNNNNNNNNNNNNNNNNNNNNNNNNNNNNNNNNNNNNNNNNNNNNNNNNNNNNNNNNNNNNNNNNNNNNNNNNNNNNNNNNNNNNNNNNNNNNNNNNNNNNNNNNNNNNNNNNNNNNNNNNNNNNNNNNNNNNNNNNNNNNNNNNNNNNNNNNNNNNNNNNNNNNNNNNNNNNNNNNNNNNNNNNNNNNNNNNNNNNNNNNNNNNNNNNNNNNNNNNNCAUGCUUUCGUAGCUGCCAUUUGUCAAUGACGUGAAUGUCAUCAGUUUUCUAUGACAAAUCCAAUUGCAGACUUGAUUCAAUUUCUCUUGAGUUUCAGUUCACGGAUCUGAAAAUUGAGUGGAAGUAAUGACAAAAUCACAUUGUCCCUAUUAUGUCAAUCAUCUCGAACUGCUGCAGUGUACUUGGGUUGACAAAUCGACUUGUUUAAAUACAUUACUUGAUUCAUAAUAACUUCGGUAAACGCACCGAAAUUACAAAAUCUUGAUAAAGCAACACACCUUCACACUCGGUUGACACAGUGACACACAUACAUCUGUUAUUCUGAACUCUCAACUCUGCAGCGAAUGGCAGAAGACCUAACGAUACCCACACAUGCAAACCGAUCAUAAAUAGCAACGCCGAUCAUGAGUUCAUGCCCAUGAACCCGGUGAUGAGAUUUCAGCGCUGGGCAGGACGGUGGUAGAUCGGACUCAGUGGUGUCCGUGGUAUCCACCGCCGCCGCCGUAGGUGGGCGUGGGAGGGACGGGGUGGUAGUCCGGGUGGGGCUGCGGCUUGGGCUCGGGCUUGGGCACGGGGCCGUAGUCAGGGUGGGGCUGGGGCUUGGGCUCCGGCUUGGGCGGCACGGGCUUCUUGUGGUGGAAGUGCUCGAUGAUGUGCUUCUUGAUCGGCCCGCACAGGGUCAUGGACGCGCACUCCGGCGACGCUGCUGCAGAAGGCGUGGUAAUGUUGUCGCCGGCGACGACGCCGAAGGUGGUGCCCUCGGACACCGGCACGAUCUUAGACGGCUCCUGGCCAGGGCACGGGGCGCUGGAGGCGGCGCUGUGGAGCUGCGCGACGCAGUCGGCGCCGUGGAGGUCGGCGGCCAGGGGCACGCUGAAAGCGCCGGUGCGGUCGAGGGUACCCACUGCCUUGCUCUCGUAGUCGCCGUGGACGUUCUUGCACUUGAUCGCCACCUGAAGACCUGAGGUACGUUCAUGGCAGAACAAUGGUGAUCAGCGUCAACCCAUCAUGCAUUGCCACACAGACACAGUGGAGUAGCACAUCAGCGCUUACCCUUGAAAGCUUCCUCGGCCUUGAUGUUCCUCCUGGUGCAGUCGGCGCACUUGGCCAGGCCGACGACCACGGAAGCGGCCUCGGCGUUGGUGACAGCGAUCGCCAGCAGGACGGCGAGGGCGAGUGCUCUUGGAGCUGCCAUGCCUGAACCUCUGAGUCUCACUACCCUUGCUUGCCUGUGUGAAGUGGCUGCUCGAUGGAUGUAUGGAUGGAUGUAACAGGCGACGCAUGGCUUAUAUAGGCCGCCGCGUUGAUGGGCACAGCUCGAAUGCUCAACCGGCCGAUCUGUCUGCAAGCGCAGAAGAAGAAACGCAGUGAAGCGAGACAAGGAGAGAUGAGCUAACUCGCUUUCGGCGCGCCGAUGUUUCCGAUGGCGAAUUAAUCCACGCCAUUGUUCGGUUGGUGGCUUGGUGAUCGAAUUUUUAUUUAAAAUAAACAAACAGGCCACGAAUGGCAUCCUAGCUGGCAAACAUCUUUGGCGCGGAAGCUUGAAUCAUUCAGAAACUCACUGCACUGCGUAGCGACUUCCAGUUCAAACAUCAAUUUUGCUUCAUUUCUUUUUUAUUUUACAUAUUGGUUCUGUCUUGAAGUCAAACUUUGUAAAAUUUCAUCAAACUCAUGUUGAAACUAUCAAUAUCUAUAAUACCAAAUAAUAUGGAAAGUAUAUUUUAUGAUGGAUGUCACAUUGAUUUCGUAUUUGUAAACGUUGAUAAAUUUCUUUCAUUCUAAGAACUUGGUCAAAUUUAGAAAGUUUGACUUAGCACCGAACUGACAUGGGAAAUAAAAAGAAACAGACAGAGUAGUAUUUACUAUAGAUUGCAGGUUGACGCAUCAAAUAUAUUAUACUGCUGACUUCCAUGUUUAUUUGAUCAAAUAGAUACUCCAUCCGUUUCAAAAUAAAAAAGGUGUAUUUUUUUAAGUCAAACUUCUCAAACUUUGACCAAGUUUAUAGAAAGAAUAUAUCAAUGUCUACAAUGCAAAAUCAUUAUCAUUAGAAUCAUCAUUAAAAAUAUUUUCUUAUUUUAUUUUUAGUAUUGUAUAUGUUGAUAUAUUUUGCUCUAAACUUGAUCAAAUAACAAAAUGUUUGAAUUUUUGAAAAAUUAAUGCACCUUAUAUUUUGAAACUGAUGGAGUAUGACAAAAACAUGCGACAUUGUACAAACUAACACGGCCUUUUAGUUUAAGAGUAUGGAAUACACACCAGGAACAGACGUGGUAAAAACCUGAUGUUUCUCAAAUUGGUGGAAGCAAUAAGAGAAUUCAUAUAAGUGGACAUAAUAAAGUUUCAUCUCAUUUUCAUUGAAAGGUCCACCAGAGUAGGCAAGUCAAGGACAAUGGUGUAUCCCGGAUGAUACCGUAAAUUUUUCUGUUGGGUUGUAUCCUUUUCUCCAUGCAUCCAACUGUUAUGCGAUGGUCAUAUACACCACGUGAAACAUUACUGCCUGAGCUUGUUGUGUCCUAGCGGAAAAGAUCUACACAUAUACAACAUCCCUUUUCCAAGUAUCAUGGUGCCAUGGAUCUUAUUUUUUUACACUUAAGGUCUCCUUUUUGUUCAACAACAAGUGUAGCAUUACAUUGUUGACAAGAAUUUGAAAUAUCUCCCAAGGGGUGUCAUCCAUCCAAGUACCAUGUGUAGAAGAUCUAGCUAAUCUAGCUAAUUCAUGUGCAUUUGCAUUAGCCUAUCUAGGACAAUGAGCAUGGAUUACAUGAGUAAAAUCAAGAGACAUAUAGUAACGAUCGUCAAAUAAGACACUCGUGAGGCCUAAUGAUGAAGCCCCUUCAUGCAUUGUUGUAAUCACCUCGAGAUUAUCCGAAUUCACUUCAAUCUUGUCGCACCCAACUGUUCGUGCAUGAUUCACCCCAUAUUUAAGUGUUGUGUCUUCGGCAAUGAAAGUGUCAAAACAAACAUCAACUCUUUCAUUCGCAACAACAAUGAUGUUUCCCAUACACGAAGGACAACUCCUACAUAUGCCUAGAGAGUAUCAAGGUCAAAUGAGGCGUCCACAUUGAGCUUUAAAUAACCAUGGAUCGGCUUGGUCCAUCCCCCAUGCUUCAUAAUGUGUUUGCGGUAGCUUGCUAAUGUGAAGUUUUCUUCCAAUGCUCUCACUACAAGAUGAAUUUGACCUGGUGUUUGUAUCGACUGGCCAUGCAAGAGUUUCCUCUGCUCCCACCAGACAUACCAAGAUGCAAUAGCAAUAAUUUAUUUGAAUGCUUAUCCUAAAACCACCGCUUCUUGAUAAUGGAAGUUCGAUAAAUAUUCUAGCGUCUCCUCCCACGACAGGCCAGCGACACAUGAUUUAUGGAUGGUAUCACAAAGUCCCAGGGGAUUCCACACUUCACUAGCCAAAGAUUAUUAAAAUAGAAGAUCUUUAACGUUGUCAGCCCAUAAUUUGCAAACAAUACAAUGAGGAUAUAUAUCCAGUGUAGCAUCCAUCUUUACCAACUCUCUUAUCUUUCAUUGGAUGCAACUUUCAUAUAGGCAACCAAAACAUUGUCAGUAAUUAACAGUCCUGGAACAAGGCCACUCUUGCCAGCCCAUGUGUUGUUGGUUGCUGUAAAAAAAGGUAUAGCAAAGCUUUCUUCUAUGGUGGCACGGUCAAUCAUAAACGUAAGUUUUCUAUAUCUUGUAUGGGCAAGUUCUUUUGAGAAUAUUGAAAUCAAUGCGACAACAGAACUCGAUUUGGCAUGAAAAAUCUUGAGAUGAUCAUGGAGAAUCUAAAUAGCUAGCCCCACUAAUCUAUUUCUCUCAACAUGUAAGUAAGCUAUCUGAGCAUGGAAAAGACUCACCUUUAAUAUGCAACCAUACGUCUACCAAAAUCUUCUUCCUAAUUGACGCGGGUCUCCUCCCUCCCUUCCUUCCUCCCUUCCUUCCUGCGCCCCGGCUACUCGCCGGCGGCGUGGCCGUGCCUCUGCCACUCGGUAGUGGCGACCUCCAGCCAGCCCAAGCCCGCGGCCAUGGCGACCCCCGCCCCUCCUCCCGAUCUCGCGAUCCGUUGUCGGACCUGCUCGUUUUCCACUCCGAUCUGGAGGCCCCCCUGCCCCCAGCGUCUUCUCUGUGGCUGGCCCUUGUCCCUCCUUCCGCAACGUCCUCCUCUUACCGCCCCCUACUUAGCCUUCAAGCUCCUGUCAUGUUGCUGUUGCUGCGACCGAGGUGACCACUCGUCCACGCCUCCGAUCUGUGGUGUUUGUGCGCCCCCAUCCCCCUGUGCCGGCUGGUGGCAUUGAUGCCAACCCAGCUCGCCCGGGACGCAUUGAUGGCGGUGGGUGGCGGCUGGUGGGAAAGGGUGGCCGCCCUGUCCCUUAUCCUCAACCCACCUAGCCCUCUCGUCCUCGCCAACGCUCUCCGCCAUCACAGCUCAAAUCCCUCCUCCUUCGCAAGGCUUGGGGCCGGUGCUUUCGCUGCUUGAGGAAGGGACACCGCAUUGUAGAUUGCCACAGUAAGGCUAGGUGCUUGCUGUGUGGCUCCUCAGGUCACAAGGCGCACUUGUGUCAUCCGCCAGCUGCGCCCCCCUGUCGCGCAGCCGCUCUGUUGACGCUCCGCUCCCUCCGCCACCUCCAGGCCCCCCUCCGCCGUCUGCCGUGCGUCUCCAAGACCCUGCGUGCCGCGCCAUGGAAGCCCCUCCCGCCGAUGUCCAAUCCCACCAUGGCUUGGUGGUGGCCACAGCUCCUCGCUCCGCCAUGCUGGCUGACGCGGAGCGCUCCCUUUGCCGGAGGGCGGUCGUGGCCACUUUGGUGGGUCACCGGCCGUUCAAGCUGCCGCUCGCGGAUUUCAAGAGGUCCAUCGCGCUUCGGUUCAGGGUGGAUCCUGAGGCGGUGAAGGUUUCCCUGCGCGCCACAUGCGAGUUCCUAGCCGUGUUCGACGACGCCCUUGCCCGCGACGCCGCCCUCGCCAUCCAAGGACCGCUCCACCUGGGUGGGCUCUCCUUCCUGCUCACGCCUUGGUCACGGUUCCGCCGGGCUACCCAUGCGGAGAUGCUCUACAAGGUCCGUGUGUGCCUCGAGGGCGUCCCUGAGCACGCCUGGGACGUGGAGAGCGUCUGGCCGCUGUUUGAUCCUGCCGAUCUCAUCGAAGGGUUAGACCCUGAGUUUUGCUUUGAGGAAGAAUCUGGCUGCGUCAGGCUUUGGGUUUGGACUGCAGGGACUGGAUGAGAUAGUUGCUGAAGCUUGGAAUAAACCCCUGAGAUCUCCAGACCCAAUUAGAAACUUCCAUGCUAAGCUUUCUAGAACAGCAACAGCCCUCAAGAAAUGGAACAAUAGUAUGAGAAAGAAGGCUAGUUUGGCUUCUGAUAUUGCAAAUGAGGUGAUUUUUCAACUGGACCUAGCAAUGGAACAUAGAGAGCUCACCUCUGCUGAGUGGGCCCUUCGGCGAAACCUUAAGUCCAAGCUUUUAGGAAUUGCUGCUGUAGAGAGGAUUAGAUGGAAGCAGAGAUCUAAGCUAACCACUAUCAGAUCGGGUGAUACUAGCACCAAAUUCUUCCACCUAAGGGCAAAUGGCGGACGUCGGAAAAACCACAUUGCCAGUCUUAUUGGGCAGCACGGAGAAACCUCUGAUCACAAGGAGAAAGAAGAAAUUCUGAUUGAUUACUUCAAGAAUCUCAUAGGAAAAGCUGCACCUGGUGCCUCUCAUUUGAAUUGGAACUCUCUGGGGAUCCAGCGGACAGAGCUGCAGCACUUGGACCAGGAAUUCUCUGAAGAUGAGAUCAAGGCUGCAGUUUUUGAUGGGCAUGCUGAGAAGGCACCGGGACCUGACGGAUUAAUUGGGGCAUUCUACAAGAGGUUUUGGUCUCUAAUUAAAGAUGAUCCGAGGGAGGUUUUCAAGAGCCUUUUUCUGCUAAAGGGAAACCAAUGGAAGAUACUCAACUCUGCUAACCUGGUGCUAAUCCCCAAGAAAGAGGGAGCAACAACACCUUCUGAUUUCAGGCCAAUCAGCCUGAUGCAUAGUGUUGCUAAAAUCAUCUGCAAGGUGCUUGCUAAUCGAUUGGGCCUGGAGCUACACAAGAUCAUAUCGGGCACCCAGAGCGCUUUCAUUCGAGGAAGAUCCAUCCAAGAUAACUUCCUGUAUGUCAAGAAUGUAAUCAAAGAUGCUCACCAAAAGAAGAAGAAACUGCUUUUCCUCAAGCUGGACUUCGAAAAGGCUUUUGACUCGGUUGGCUGGGGAUACCUGCUGCAAGUAUUGGAAAACUACGGGUUCGGACAAAGAUGGAGAGAUAUGAUAUGCAUUCUAUUAGCCUUGGCCACCUCCAGGGUGCUGCUUAACGGAGCUGCAGGCCUGCCUUUUCAGCACCGGCAAGGUUUCCGGCAGGGUGACCCCCUAUCGCCGAUGCUAUUCAUUCUUUCUCUGGACCCACUUCAAAGAAUUUUGAACCAAGCCACUCAGAUGGAGAUCCUAUCCCCCCUACCGACGCACUCUGCCAGGCUAAGAGCAAGUUUCUUUGCUGACGACGCUGCUCUUUUCCUCAAACCGACAAGUAGGGACAUUCAAGGCGUGCUGCGCAUUCUCAAAUUCUUUGGUGAUGUGUCUGGACUCAAGAUCAAUCAUGGAAAGUGUAUGGCUUACCCUGUCCGAUGUGAAGGGAUUGAUAUUGCCUCCCUCCUGGAGGGUUUUGGAGGAGCUCUUGGAGCCCUGCCCUGUCGAUACCUGGGGCUGCCACUUUCUCUUAGAAAGCCGAGAAGAGUUGAAGUACAACCACUAUUGGAUAAGGUCGUUGGCUGCUUACGACCUUGGAAGGGCAGGUUCUUUACCAGACCUGGCCGGCUUCUCCUUGUUAAUUCAGUCCUCACAGCUACGCUUACCUUUUACCUCACUGCGUUUCUCCUGGAUAAAUGGGCUGAGAGGCAAAUUGAUAAGCUACGAAGGAAAUUUCUUUGGAAUGUCGAGGACGAGGCAUAUGGUGGAAAUUGUUUGGUUAACUGGAAGCGCAUCUGUGCCCCAAAAUCGGUGGGGGCCUUGGUAUCAAGGACAUCGCUGCAUACAGCAGAGCCCUUCGAUUGCGUUGGCCUUGGUAUGAGUGGGACAGUGUUGAUCGCCCCUGGAAAUGAACGCCAACCCCGUGCGACCACACUGAUCGCCAGUUGUUUGCUGCCUGCACUAGCAUCCAAUUGGGAGAUGGCAGAAAGGCGCAAUUCUGGACUGAUAGAUGGCUGCAUGGAAUGGCUCUCAAGGACAUUGCCCCUGCUCUAUUCAAGCUGUCCCGCAAGAAGCUUUUGAAUGUACAUGACGGUCUGCAGGACAACCAAUGGAUGGUUGGGCUGAAUAAGAUUAAUGACGCUCCGACACUCGACUGCCUGCUGAACCUUUGGACGGCCCUCCAGCAAGUUCUCCUCAACGAUAGUGAGGAUGAAAUCUCUUGGAUUCACUCCUCGAACGGAAGAUACAUCGCCAAGUCUACCUACAACAUCCAGUUCAUCACUAGAAUUGCAAUGCCGCAACUCGAAUAGGUGUGGAAAAUCAAGGCUGAACCUAAGAUCAGAUUCUUCAUCUGGACCUUGCUCCAAAACAGGUUGUGUACUGCUGAUUGCCUUGCGGCCCAAGGAUGGCCUCACAAGGAUCGCUGCAGCACCUGUGACCAACUCCCGGAGUCUGCACAACACAUCUUAAUUGACUGCCCUUUUGCAAAGGAGAUUUGGCACUCCCUCCGGUCCACGCACCAUGAAGCUGCUGUUGCUGCCCUUGCUGCCACUUCUAUUCAAUCUUGGUGGACAGAUGCAACCAGAUGCAAGACCCUACAUGACAACCUCCAUGCGUCUACCGUGGCGGCCUACACUGCUUGGAACAUCUGGAACGAGCGAAACAGAAGGGUUUUCCAACAGAAGACGACAACUGCACCUGGAGCUUAUACAAUGACCAGAGAUGAGAUCAACCUCUUUGCUGGGGCUUGGGAGAUUUAGUCCCUGUUGUCUCCGGGGUCCGGCUCCAUUUUGGUAGCCAGGACCUCUCUUUUUGACACUGCCAUUGGCUUUCUUGUUGUACUUUGUACAGUUCUUUCCCCCUUCUUAAUGAAAAGGCAGAGCACCUGCCAUUGCCCGUCAAAAAAAUGCAACCAUGCAUAGGAAAAGUCUCACCUCGACAUGCAAACAUGGGUGAUAAUUUCCACUGUAUUAUGCUAUUUAUAUUUAAUAAAUAUUUUACAACCAUACAAUAAUCAAACAAAAUAAACCAUGCAUAUUUUAAGUUUUAUUUAUUAUAAUAUUACUCUAAAUAUUCAUGUUCCACACAACCAAAUACAUUGAAAUAUAAUGCAGACCAUUUGUCCAACAACAUGCAUAUAUCAUCUACUGGUUAUAACAAACAUCUAAUCACUUGGGUCUAAUGUUAUAAUAAACAUUCCUCCAAUAACAUGCAAACAACGUUUCAGAUGUUUGUCAUUCAUUAUUUAUCAAGAGCACUUAACAAUUCAUAUAUUAGCUCCGACCUCGAUUUAGUUAUAGAAAGUACUUAUCAACAUAUUGUGGCAGCAAUUAAUAGAAAUCCCACGUUUGAUGAGAUGGUAGUCGUAGUGCAACUUUAAAGUAAAAUGGAAUACAACUUUCUUCUGAACUGCAGAACAAAAUAUUUACGGUUGCACCCGGCGUUAUUAUGUUCAAAGUUUGAGAAGUGUUUAUGUUAUUGUGCCACUUGUGUUGCUCGGGUGCUCAAAUCCUACCUCUGAUUGGUUGUAAGAUUGCUUUCAAAUUAAGCUUGUAAGCAGCCAAUCCACGCUGCUAGCUCAAGUCUUGUUGAUUUGGUACAUAUAAAUGCUCCGGAGGCGCGCCGCACGUAGAAAGGGAUCAACAGAGAAUUAGGUAUGUAGGCUCUAACUUGUUUAGGCUCUAGUAGAUGAUAAAGUGUACUCUGGACUACAUGCAUAUUUACGCUGCAUGAAUGCAUGCAUGCUUAUCCAUGCACGAACGAGAAGGACACGAUCGGCCACCAGCCAAUGCAAAGUCGAUCACCAACCGAGUAAUGACAAACGACGUUCGUGGAUCAAAUCGAUCGUUGAUCGAUGCGUGCAGUCGUCCAGAAUCGAUCAACCGAGUUUUAAUUCGCCAUCUGAAAUUUCGGCGAGUUAGCCGGUGUCUCGUUGUCAGGCAUCACUUCGCCGGCCACCAGGCGAACAUGCAGCCAGAUCAUCAACCGAGCUGGAUGGAUCAAUGCGGAUGUCUAUAUAAGCCAUGCGUCGCCUGUUCCAUCCAUCCAUCCAUCCAUCCAUCGACCAGCCACUUCACACAGGCAAGCGAGUGGUAAGGGUUCAGGCAUGGCAGCUCCGAGAGCGCUCGUCCUCGCCGUCCUGCUGGCGAUCGCCGUCGCCAACGCCGAGGCAGCGUCCGUGGUCGUCGGCCUGGUCAAGUGCGCCGACUGCACAAGGAAGAACAUGAAGGCCGAGGAAGCCUUCAAAGGUGAGCUAGCUACAAACCGAAUAUAGGUAGAUAAGAAAUGAAGAGUACUGUCACUCUGCAUGUGCACACUUCACACGCAUAUAAAUGUAUGGAGAUCAGCUCACAGUCACUGAUGUACUCAUGUCCCUGCCACGAAAAUUUUGUCAGGUCUCCAGGUAGCAGUCAAGUGCAAGAACGUCCAUGGCGACUACGAGAGCAAGGCACUGGGUGCCCUCGACGGCACCGGGGCCUUCCGCAUGCCCCUCGCCGCUGACCUCCACGGCGCCGACUGCGUCGCACAGCUCCACAGUGCAGCCUCCAACGCGCCGUGUCCUGGCCAGGAGCCAUCCAAGAUCGUGCCGGUUUCCGAGGGCACCACCUUCGGUAUCGUCGCCGGCGACAGCAUUGCCACGCCGUCUGCAGCGUCGCCGGAGUGCGCAUCCAUGACCCUGUGCGGGCCAAUCAAGAAGCACAUCAUCGAGCACUUCCACCACAAGAAGCCCGUGCCACCGAAGCCGGAGCCCAAGCCCCAGCCCCACCCGGACUACGGCCCCGUGCCCAAGCCCGAGCCAAAGCCGCAGCCCCACCCGGACUACCACCCCAUCCCUCCCACGCCCACCUACGGCGGCGGAGGUGGCGGCGGAUACCACGGACACCACUGAGUCUGGUCUACCACCGUCGUCCUGCCCAGCGAUGAAAUCUCAUCAACGGGUUCAAAGUCAGUGAGUGAUUGACGUUGCUAUUUAUGAUCGGUUUGCAUGCGUGGGUGGAUUGUUUGGUGUUGUGCCAUUCGCUGCCCCGUUUUAGUAUCUGCACCGCAGAGUUGAGAGUUCAGAAUAACAGUUGUGAGGAACACAUGGAUCACUGUGUAUUUUGCUUUUUAAAGAUUUGCAAUUUCGGUGUGUGUUUUGUAUACGAAGUUGUGGAUCAAGUAAUUUAAUCAAGUCCAUUAUUUGAGCCAAUGGAAUUACUGCAGAUGUUGGCUUUUUUGGCUUGAUCUUGUUCUACUGUGUGCUGCGUGCGUUUAGUUCAUGUUUUGCCUAAUGUUAUAGGCUUGCUUUUACCUUCAUUUUCUUUUAAGUUUUUGGUUCAUGUAAUAACUGUGUGGUGGUUUUUUAAUGGAAAAAUGCUACAUCGACGGGCUCUUUACGGGGUUUUCAACGGACUCUCCCAAACUAAACUUGCCCCCCCCCCCCUCCCCUCCCUCUCAUUUUCAGGAAGGCAGGGCCCCUCUCCCCCUUANNNNNNNNNNNNNNNNNNNNNNNNNNNNNNNNNNNNNNNNNNNNNNNNNNNNNNNNNNNNNNNNNNNNNNNNNNNNNNNNNNNNNNNNNNNNNNNNNNNNNNNNNNNNNNNNNNNNNNNNNNNNNNNNNNNNNNNNNNNNNNNNNNNNNNNNNNNNNNNNNNNNNNNNNNNNNNNNNNNNNNNNNNNNNNNNNNNNNNNNNNNNNNNNNNNNNNNNNNNNNNNNNNNNNNNNNNNNNNNNNNNNNNNNNNNNNNNNNNNNNNNNNNNNNNNNNNNNNNNNNNNNNNNNNNNNNNNNNNNNNNNNNNNNNNNNNNNNNNNNNNNNNNNNNNNNNNNAAAAAUUCCCCGUAAAACAUUCGUAAUGGUUCGUUGAUGUAGCAUUGCUCGAAAAAUGGUUUUACCAUUGUGUAGUCGUGUGAGACCAUCAUUUACUUUCAGCCGGUUUUCAGAUCUAUGGACUCAAACUCAAGAGGACUUCAGGCAGGUGUGCAAUUGGAUCUGUCAUGAACAACUCAUGGCAUUCAUGUCAAAAACAAAAUUGCAGCUACCAGGGAUCAUGCAUUCAUACUGCCCCUUCUGCUUUGACUUCUUUCAGCCUAAGCAGGAGGUGAACUGGGCCAUGGCCCGGUCCAGCUGAAGUACAUAAGGGGGCAUAUUUGGCUCGGACCGCUGAAGACCAAACAAUCAGUAGCACUUAGGCAGGAGAGAACCUGCUUAGUCAGGUACAUGGAUUUACACAGGUAAAGUUUGAACAAUGCUUUAGAGAAGAUAACGAGGUAGCUCAUGUAUAGCUAAACAUAGUUUUUUUUUGUGUGAAAAGGAUCCAGAUUUACUCCCUCCAUUCCUAAAUAUAAGCCCUUUUAGAGUUUUCAAUAUGGACUACGUGCAGAGCAAAAUGAGUGAAUCUACAUUUAAAAUAUGUCUAUAUACAUCCUUAUGUAGUGUAUACUGAAAUCUCUAAAAAAGACAUGUAUUUAGGAACGGAGGGAGUAUUAUAAAGGUUCACCAGAAGUAAAAUUACAAAGCACCACAAACAUAAUAAAAAUUACAUUAAGGUCCAUUAAGCAUCGAACGACCACUGACCACCAGAACGAUCCGACGACGUGUCGUUGUCGUUGCUCCCAUACCGAAGCCGGCUUGACUUUGUCGAUCAUAGCUAGAAAGUCUUGGUGCACAUGCCCCUAAGGACCAGCGCCCCGGAUUUGCAAUCGUUGUUGUAGAUCCCUUGAAUCGAUCGGAAGAACCUAACAUCAAAUAUCAUCAUUGCGUACGCAUGCCGAUAAACCCUACCCUUGCCGACCCGAGGAGCAAACGAGAAUCUACGCCGGAGGUUUGUCGAUACGUCCCAACGGACAAACUCGAGAAGAAUCGAAGCCCGAAAGACCGGCUCGAAUAUGUAGCAUCGCCCAUAGGAGGACUAAAACCCCAACCUAUCUAUUAGCCGGAGUCGACCCAUGAGGAUUGCCCUCCUUGCAUCCGGUCAUCUGUGAGGUGGAGCACUUCUUUUCCUCUGGCAGGCUGAUCUGCCAGAGACUCAUCCCUCUGGGAAGGGGAAUUCGAAGCCAUCGUCAUCACUAACACUUCGAUCAUCAUUGGGACCAAUGCAUAUCCUGACUCGUUAAUGUGUCAGAAGGCCAACACAUCUAGUUAAUGGCAACAUUAUCAAGUGAACCAACAACUCAAAAAAAGAGUAAAGCAAAGCUACCCGAGCUAGCCAUCUGCACGCGUUGAUGGGCCAUGCCACGGGAGGCAGCGUGUGAGCAGAGCGCCGGUUGAUCCUAAUGCCGCACAAGGAGCCAACAAGGAGGAAGCUCAAGCUUUGGUUAAUCACAUGCUGUUCGACGAUAUUGAAUUUUAAUAAAGGGUGUGGCUAGGUCUCAAUCGGCUGAGAUUUAACACUAUCUCAGUCAAAUGACAUAACAUGCAAGAGAGAAAAAACUGAAAAAUAAAUUUUGCACAAAUCUUAAUAUAAGAUCCGACGGAUAUAACAUCGACUGAGACUUAACGAAGUCUUAGUGUCGAGUAAGACUUAACGAAGUAUCAGUCGACUAAGACUUAACAAGACAAAAAGUGGUUUUCCCAUAAUAGGAAAACUAGGACCGGCAGUAUGCAUAUGAUCUCUGGUAGCUACCAUUUGCUUCUAGAAAAAAAAGAGCUACCAUUUGCCUACGACGUGAAUGGCAUGAGUUGUCCAUGACAAAUCCAAUUGCACACUUUCCUCAGUUUCUCUUGAGUUUAAGUUCACGGAUCAGAAAAUUGACUGGAACUAAUGGCAAAAUCACAUUGUCCUUAUCAUAUCAAUCGUCUGGAACAGCUGCAGUGUACUUCGGUUGACAAAAUCGACUUGAUUUAAAUUACUUGAUUCAUAAAAACCUUUGUACUACAAGAGAACUCACCGAAAUUACAGAAGCAAACACACCAACCACACCCACACACUUGCCUGACACACACGCGUAGAGCUGUUAUUAUGAACUCUCAGACUGCAGUGCAGAUACUAAAAUGGGGCAGCGAAUGGCAGAAGACCAAACAAUGCACCCACCCAUGCAAACCGAUCAUAAAUAGCAACGUCGAUCACUCACUGUCGCUGGGCAGGAGUACAAUGGUAGACUGGACUCAGUGGUGUCCGUGGUAUCCACCGCCGCCGCCUCCGCCGUAGGUGGGGGUGGGAGGGACUGGGUGGUAGUCCGGGUGGGGCUGCGGCUUGGGCUCGGGCUUGGGCACGGGG
rnacentral:lncRNA from 1 species